rnacentral:lncRNA from 1 species
CAUGCUUAUCACUCCAAGCAUAAGUAGCUCCUGUGUGGGUCAAUCAGAAUUUCGUCUAUGAACACUAUCACAGAUUUAUCAAGGAACGGAUUACAAACCCUAUUCAUUAAAUCCAUGAAUGCUGCCGGAGCAUUGGUUAGUCCAAACGACAUAACCAAGAACUCGUAGUGUCCAUAUCUAGUUAUGAAUGUAGUCUUCUCGAUAUCUUGCUCUCUUAAUUUUAGCUAAUGAUAUCCUGACCUUAGAUCGAUCUUCGAGAAAUAGCUCGAACCUUGCAAUUGAUCAAACAUGUCAUCAAUCCUUGGAAACGGGUAUCUAUUCUUUAUCGUUGCUUUAUUCAGUAGNAUGCACAUUCUCAUACUUCCAUCUUUCUUCUUCACAAAUAACACCGGAGCUCCCCAGGGCGAUGAACUAGGUCUAAUGAAACCUUUGUCCAAUAACUCCUGAAGUUGCAUCACCAGCUCCUUCAUCUCCGUCGGUGCUAAUUGGUAAGGUGCUUUUGCUAUUGGCGUGGUUCCUGGUAACAAGUCAAUUAUGAACUCCACUUGUCGAUCAGGCGGUCGAUAGAUUGGAACAAACUCCCCUGGGAUAGCAGUCGAUAGAUUGAUCACUUCCUUUCCAGCUCCAAUUCAAUUGACUUUAGACAUGGGAACAGCUCAUCCAUGCCUUGAGUGUCAAAUCUCGUGUGGGUCGCUCCAAAUACGCGGAAAACAGUGUAAAAUCUUCAGGAAUUAAUAUGGAAAGAAUAGAUAGUCAAGUGGUACUCUAAUAAGCAUCAAAUCAGCAGUCCCUUCAACAUGAAACCAAACAACUCGUCGAGUAUAUAUCAAACUCGUCAAGUUACUUCGGGAAAUCUUCGGAUUUUUGAGAAUUAAGGGCGACUCGUCGAGUCAGUUUAAUGCACUCGUCGAGUUGGUCACUGAAUGAAAAUAUAAGCAUUCUGCAUCUGAUCCAGCUUCCAAUAAACUCUCUAUACUUUCUAUUCACUUCUAGACUCCCUUGCCAACAUCUCUAAGGACCGGACUCAAUACUUUAACUCUAACGCUCCCUCUUUCUUGACUCUCUUUCUCACUUUGAUUCUAUGAUUCUAAACCCUUUUGAAGCUAGCACUCCUAAUUCAAUUCUGAAAAUUGUCAAAGCAUUCAAACAUCAAAAGCAAGUUUUAAAAACAUUUAAACAAACCAAAUAAAAACAAACACAUAAAUAAAAAGAUUAAAAAAUUUUCAAUAAAAAUGCAAAGAACUCAAUCCUCCUCAUCAUCAUCAUCUAGCCCUGCUCCACUUCCUCCCGCACCGCUUCUUCUUGCACUUAUCACCUCUUCCCAUGAUGGAAUGUAUGGAAAGUUACCACCAUCAAUGUGUGGAAUGUUAAAGGGGUCGAAAAGUCGUAUAUGUGAUUGGUUGCUAAAAUUCAAGCUCCGCGCCAUUUGGUCUUGUAGCCGCCUCAUCUCCACAUUGUACCAAUCCAUUGGUACUUCUUCAUUCUCAACCGGAAUCACCGGCGGCUCUUCCUCAACAUCCCGCUCUCUCCUCGAUCUAACCCUCAUCCCCGGUGCUUCGUGACCAACAAUCGGAUCAUCAUUCGGGAUGGCAUAAUGGCCACCACCAUAGUCUUCNNNNNNNNNNNNNNNNNNNNNNNNNNNNNNNNNNNNNNNNNNNNNNNNNNNNNNNNNNNNNNNNNNNNNNNNNNNNNNNNNNNNNNNNNNNNNNNNNNNNNNNNNNNNNNNNNNNNNNNNNNNNNNNNNNNNNNNNNNNNNNNNNNNNNNNNNNNNNNNNNNNNNNNNNNNNNNNNNNNNNNNNNNNNNNNNNNNNNNNNNNNNNNNNNNNNNNNNNNNNNNNNNNNNNNNNNNNNNNNNNNNNNNNNNNNNNNNNNNNNNNNNNNNNNNNNNNNNNNNNNNNNNNNNNNNNNNNNNNNNNNNNNNNNNNNNNNNNNNNNNNNNNNNNNNNNNNNNNNNNNNNNNNNNNNNNNNNNNNNNNNNNNNNNNNNNNNNNNNNNNNNNNNNNNNNNNNNNNNNNNNNNNNNNNNNNNNNNNNNNNNNNNNNNNNNNNNNNNNNNNNNNNNNNNNNNNNNNNNNNNNNNNNNNNNNNNNNNNNNNNNNNNNNNNNNNNNNNNNNNNNNNNNNNNNNNNNNNNNNNNNNNNNNNNNNNNNNNNNNNNNNNNNNNNNNNNNNNNNNNNNNNNNNNNNNNNNNNNNNNNNNNNNNNNNNNNNNNNNNNNNNNNNNNNNNNNNNNNNNNNNNNNNNNNNNNNNNNNNNNNNNNNNNNNNNNNNNNNNNNNNNNNNNNNNNNNNNNNNNNNNNNNNNNNNNNNNNNNNNNNNNNNNNNNNNNNNNNNNNNNNNNNNNNNNNNNNNNNNNNNNNNNNNNNNNNNNNNNNNNNNNNNNNNNNNNNNNNNNNNNNNNNNNNNNNNNNNNNNNNNNNNNNNNNNNNNNNNNNNNNNNNNNNNNNNNNNNNNNNNNNNNNNNNNNNNNNNNNNNNNNNNNNNNNNNNNNNNNNNNNNNNNNNNNNNNNNNNNNNNNNNNNNNNNNNNNNNNNNNNNNNNNNNNNNNNNNNNNNNNNNNNNNNNNNNNNNNNNNNNNNNNNNNNNNNNNNNNNNNNNNNNNNNNNNNNNNNNNNNNAAUCAAAAAUUACAUAUAAAACUUUGUAAUUUUGAUAACAAGUUGCUGUAGAUGGAUUAGCAAAGACAUUACACAAGUUUUCAAGUACCAAAACAGUUUAGGGUAACGUUUCUAGUCCAUUUCCAGCAACUAAAGUCGAAAAUCUGCACUCUGUGGCUCCUACUCGUCGAGUGCAUGAACCUACUCGGCGAGUAGGUUGAAGAUACACAUGAACUCGGCGAGUCCCCCCAUGGACUCGGCGAGUUCAUCAGGCAGACANNNNNNNNNNNNNNNNNNNNNNNNNNNNNNNNNNNNNNNNNNNNNNNNNNNNNNNNNNNNNNNNNNNNNNNUGGGUUUUGAGCAUUCUAACACUUCCUAAGUGUACAUGCAACCCUAAUAAACCUUGGAUCUAUGUUUGUCUAAGAUACAUGCAAAUAAUUAUUUUUCCAAGGUUCAUAUCCUAACUAGCAUGGCAUGGGGAACAUGAAUCAAAUAAAGCUAGUAGAAAUACUUACCUUGUAGUUGUAGUUGAUUGUUUGGAGUUUUAGAGCCUAGCACCAAUAGUGUAGAUGCCUCAAAUGGAAAUCACAAAUCACCACAAACUUGGAACUUUGAGAGAAUAGUCACUACUAUCUUGAAAUUGGCCCUCACUUCAACAAGUGUCAACUAGUGUUAUUUCAAGAACCAAAGCCUUCUUUAUAUAGUGUGGUGGAUUAGGGUUACAUCCAUGUAAACCCUAAUACCCAUGUCUCUUCAUUUCCAUGAGAUCCAUGGGUUAAUGCUCCAUGGAGUAUCCCUGGACUUUUUCCAUGCAAGCCUAGCCCAUUCCAAAUAAGUCUUAGCCUACACUAUAUAAAUAUAGAAGCCCAUAUUUAAUUAGUAAUAUCUUUGAUCUCUAAAUAAAUCCUAGAUUAAUUAUAGAUCAAUACUAAUUAAAUAAUAUGAUCUUAUAUUAAUAUAUUAGAACUUAUAAUAUAUUAAUAAAUCAUAACUUGUACUAUUCUCAACAGAUUAUCCAUAAAUUGUUCGGGUGAAGUGCAACCCAAAUGGACCAUGCCGGGUCGGGUCAAGUACAUACCAAAUAUAGUUAUGGACUUAGACACUAUAUCCAACAGUCUCCCACUUGGAUAAGUCUAAUAACUAUAGUUGCAAGUAUGACUUCAGGAACCGAUCANNNNNNNNNNNNNNNNNNNNNNNNNNNNNNNNNNNNNNNNNNNNNNNNNNNNNNNNNNNNNNNNNNNNNNNNNNNNNNNNNNNNNNNNNNNNNNNNNNNNNNNNNNNNNNNNNNNNNNNNNNNNNNNNNNNNNNNNNNNNNNNNNNNNNNNNNNNNNNNNNNNNNNNNNNNNNNNNNNNNNNNNNNNNNNNNNNNNNNNNNNNNNNNNNNNNNNNNNNNNNNNUAUGAUAUAUAUAUAUAUAUAUGUGUGUGUGUGUGUGUGUGUGUGUAUAACACAUGUAACUCUUUGUUUUCAGACAAUGUAAAUGAAUCUAUGUAAUGUAAAGUUUUGUGUUUACUAUGCUUACUAUGUACAUUGGUUGUGAUACUUCAUGACGUCCUCCGCCUCAGAAUGUUUCUGCCAUCGGUUUUGGGGUGUGACACACUUCCCCCUUUUGAGGAAGGAACAUCGGGUUUCUCCUUAAGCCAUUGCUUAAGACCAUCAAUUUUGGCACAAACUUCAUUGAACUGAGCUUUGAUAGCCUCACCGAGUUGCUGAUUGGUGGGGGUUGCUGUGUUUAAUAGCAAUUUGUGAAUCUCCUUUAUAAAUCUGAGAAUCUCCUAGCCAUGGAAGUUUGAGGAUAGGGAGCGUCUGAGGUUGUUGAUGGUUGUUUUUAAGACUGAGAUAGCGGACUCAUAAUCAUUGUGAGUUUCCUCAACAAACUUCUUUGAAUGGGCAUCAUGACCCACAAUGACUGAUUGAAGCUCAACUUUGAUUGUGGUCACUUCAGUGAUGAGUCGCUCCAGAGUGGUGAUAAAUUGUUGAUGAUCCGCCUUCCGGCUUGUAUCCAGGGCUCGGAUACCCAUUUCAACCUUGAGAGAGAUUAUCUUAGCAACAAGAUAUUCUCUUGCUUCCAAACGUUAUAUCCUAUCAAUUAGGGAUUACGGUCCAGACACAUCUUCUGGUUGUGGUUGGCUAGAUUUUACUGCAGCUAAAAUUUGAUUGAUCUUAUAUUGCAGGCUUAGAAAUUCUUUCAUGGAAACAACCAUUUUCUUCUUCUUCUUCUUUUCCUUAGGAUUUAAAGUAGAGUGUUGGGAUCCACUUGAUUCUUCUUCCACUUCGAAAAUCACCAUCAUAUCAUCUGAUGGCAUUGGUUGAUUGAUUUCAUCCAUGUCAAUGUCAUCAUAUCCAAACGUAGGUCCGGAACUGACUUCGAUUUCUGUUCUAGCAUCUUGAGAGUCUUGAACAGUUUGAGCUGGAGGGGGCUGGGAUGGACCUGCACCAUCUGGAAUAGAUUGAGCUUUAUGGAUGGUCUCAUCCAUUACGGUCAUCCAUUCUUAAACUUUGAGAAUAGUGGCUAUGGUGUUGGCGUUGUUGAUUGCAUCUGCCCAGUACUUAGCCACCGUUUGAAUUUCUUUUUCUUUUUGUUGAAGCUGCCGAGUUUGCCUAUCUUUUCGAGCUUGAAAUGCCCUGCAAAAAGCUUCAUAUUUCUUGAUACCAGACUUGGUAGUGGGACGAUCCUGAGUGAAGGUAUCAUCAGAGUCAUUUCCGUCAAAACCUUGAUUACGCACCGAGGUGUCCCUUGGGUUCAUGGAUCCUUGCACAUUUGUGAUCACCGUGCCUAAACCACCUAUUUUUAAGGUAAGCAGAGUAGGAUUUUCUGAGCUUCCUCAGUCUCCUUGACCCGUAGUCAAGUUUGGCGUCGGCUUAGUUCUGGCAAGGACUGAAGAAUUGUCGUGCGGUUGGGAAGGUGUAUCAAGUGUUUGGAGUACAAAGUCAAGAAUGGAGCGCAACUCCUGUUCCUGAAAGAAAUGAAGUCGGGACACCCUGGAGACCUUAGGGUGAAAAGAACCAAUUAAAUCCUCUUAGGAUUUUGUUGGGGGAGAGUCUCCACGUUUUGAUGAAGCAGACACACUUACUGUGUUUGAGUGGCUGGGAAGGGUUGAAGUGAAUGGGUCUAUGGGGGCCCCAAGGAUUACUGGAGUCUUUUGAGAGACUUCAGUAUUAGUCCGGUCACAUAUUUGGCUAGGUGUUGGUUUGGUUUUGCGUUUCUUGAGAACAAGGAUGGGGAUAGAGUCAUCAUCAGACUCAUCUUCAACAUUGACUGCAGGGGUCUGAACUGGACGAGAGUCUUCAUCUGAAGAGACAACAUGUCUGAGUUUAUGUUUCUUGGAUGGUUCGAUUCCUUUGGAUGGAGUGCUUUUUUUGGACUUCCCUCGGGAGGUUUUUCUUGAAGAAAGUUUCUUAAGCCGUUGGGCUAAAGGAAGGUUAGAGAGAGUAGUAGAAGAUGGAGCUACGGUAUGUUCUAGAUCAUGGGGUGUGGUAGAGGUUAGUAUAUUCUGAUUGGAUAGAGGCGGGGUAGAAAGGUAUGGGUCAACACCUUCUGUAGCCUCAAUGUGAUCAGUUACUUCUUUUGUCUCAAGUCCAACAAUAGUCAAUAUAUGUAUGGGUAAACGUCUUAAAGGUCCAAAGACAGAUUGAUCUUCAGAGGGAGGGUACCUUUUGAAAUCACGAGUGACGAAGAAGUUGAUUUCGCUGCCCAUGCUAAUCUUUGCAUCGUAGUAGAGGUCUGAAAUGUACAAGGACCAAAACCAUGCAAACGUGAGCUCUGUAGGAUUUGCCCUCGGAGUCUCCUUAGUGGUGUACUGAAGGAAGUCAUCCCAUAAGAUCUGACCAUAGUUGACGUCGUGGCCUGUGAAGAUACUCCAUACAAGCUCCAAGAGCUUGAGACCAAUGUUGUCAGUGCCUCCGGUUCUUCCUGACAAACUGCGAAUCACAAAGUGGCCGACGAAUUGCCAGACCGCAGGGAGUUGGUUUUUCUUGAACUCUCCUAUUCUCUUGAGCUUCUUCUGGUAACCCAUUUAGUAGAGUGAAUAGAUGAUGUCUGUCACAUUGGGAGAGACAAACUUUGAAGUGGGAUGAACCAGUAGAUUGAUUGCAUUCAGAAACUUGUCUUUGGUCAAGAUGACUAGGGAAUCAUCCAUUAAGUUCAGAUGAACUUCUUGCAGGUUGUUGAGGGGAUGGUACGCCAAGAAUGCACAUUUGAAGAGUGUUGAAAUUGGAACCACAUCAGUGAAGGAAUCAAAGGGUCCAAACAGUGGGUAAUUGGUGAUAAACUUGAUCACGAGUCGAAUAGACUCAUUGUAGGCAGAAUGAGCAGGUUGAGCGGAACUAGAAGCUUUGGAUUGCUUCUUUGAGAUGCCAGACUUCACCAUUUUGAAAAAACAUUUGUAGAACUUGCAUAAAACUUGAGUGUAAGAAGGUAAAGAAGAUGACGAUCGUCUAAGAGGGUUCAGAAAGUGUAAAGCUUUCUUGGAUGAGAAAAAAAGGUUUUAUAGGGGCGGAUUUCAAAAGUUUAUAUUUUUUACUCUAUAUGCGGCGGUUAAAGAUAGAAACCCUUGAGUUUUUAUUUUUUUUAAGAAAAAGUGAAUUUCAACCACAAAAACGAUUGAAAACAGAAAGGUUUAAAUGUUUUUGAUUUUCCAAAAAUUUUGCAUUUAAUGAAGUGUCAGGCUCAUUAUCACACGUUUGAGGAUCAUGUGGUGAGGGGAUUAAGUCUGUAGAAUAAAGGUGGAAUUUGAGCAGAUUUGACAUCUUGAGGCAAUGUGGAUUAGACAGUUUCAUGUAAAAGAUUUCUUUUAUUGGGAAAUUGUUUUAUUUGAUUUCAAACCCAAAAUUGGUCUGACAAAAGGAUCAUUUGAAAAAGGAGAACUGAAACGGUGAUGCGCUACACAAAUAAUGUUUUUGAGAUUUUUUUUUAAUUUAAUGAAGGAUCAUUAAAUAGCACACAAUGUUCUUGGAAUUUAUGAGGUAGUUGAAAGUUUCAUUCAAUGUGACUGCAGAUUAGUCAGUCCUUGCGGAUUGAUACAUCAAUGCUGAGAGAUUUGUCAUUGCGGUGGAUGAUUAUAGACUGUGGGAGAAGGAACUGAGAUAAACACUUGAACAAGAUCAGAAAUAACAAACAAUAAGGACCUUAAAAAUAUAUGUAAGGUAUACGGUUGUGGUACACCAGGUAUACUGCGGUACACAAAGUAUACUGAAACCAUGUAUGAUAGAUAUAUAUUGUUAGGACCGCAUCGGGGACCAGAGAUGGUGUGCGGUACUUAUCAAUUCAAAAAGAUUUGUGGGUCCGGAUUCAUCAUUCUUAACAUUUGUAAGAAACUGUUGAGUUUUGUAGAGUCAAGUGCUUUUUUGAAUACAUCAGCAAUCUUUUCAUGCGUGUUAACAAAAAAUAGUUCAAUGUUACCUUUCAGAAUGUGGUAUUUGAUGAAAUGAUACCGUAAUUCAAUAUGCUUCGUCUUAGAGUGAUGAAUAGGAUUGUGGAAAAUCGCUAUCGCACUCUCUGAGUCACAAUAAAUCGGUAUCCGCAACAUCCUGUAUCUGUAGUCCAUAAGUUGUGUUUUCAUCCAUAAGAGUUGUGAACAACAGCUGGCUGCGGCCACAUAUUCAGCUUUUGCGGUAGACAAUUAGACACAAUUUUGUUUCCUUGAUGACCAGCUGACGAGUCUUCCACCAAGAAAUUGACAGCCACCGGAAGUGCUUUUGCUAUCCAAUCUACACAUCCAAUAGGAUCCGCAUCGGUGAAAGCUUGUAGGAUGAAGUCAUUCCCCGCGGGAUACCAUAGGCCUAGAGCCUUGCUACCCUUUAAGUAUCUGAGAAUUUGCUUAACUGCGGUCAUGUGAGAUACUUUCGGAUCGGCUUGGUAUCUUGCGCAUACACCUGUUGCGAAGACAAUGUCUGGUCGGCUUGCGAUGAGGUACAUCAAAGAGAAAAUUAUUCAUCUAUAAGUUUUGUGGUCUAUUGAUUCACCGAAAGGACCAACAGAAUUCUCAGUUGUCCAUUGAGUAUUUCUUCAGCAAUUUAGAGGUGUAUUUUUCUUGAUGGAUGAAUAUCCUUUGGGGAAUUUGUUUUACUUGAAGUCCUAGAAUGAAAUUAAUCUCUCUGUUCAUGCUCAUUUGGAACUUGUUGGUAAUGAGCUUUGCAGAUUCAUGCACCAUCUCCUGAUCAGUUGAUCCGAAGAUGAUAUCAUCCACAUAUAUUUGUACAAGAAUAAGGUGAUUAUCGUUUGCCUUUCUAAAUAAAGUGGGGUCAAUCAAUCCUCUUUUGUAACCGGACGAGACAAAAAAUUCGGAGAGAGUCCCAUACCACGCUCUUGGUGCUUGCUUUAGACCAUAAACUGCUUUCUCAAGCUUGUAACAGUGAUCUAGGAAUUCAAGACAUUCGAAGCCCAAAGGUUGCUGAAGAUAAACCUCCUCUUUCUAUUCACCAUUUAGGAAGGUACUCUUUCCAUCCAUUUGAUAUACAUUGAUAUUCUUGUGAGCUACACUAAGAAGAUGUGUAUGGCCUCCAUCCUGGCUAGGGGGCGUAUGUUUCAUCAUAAUCAACACCUUCAAGUUGACUAUACCCCUUAGCGACUAGUCUCGCUUUGUUUCUGAUGACCACACCAGAUUUAUCUAAUUUAUUUUUAUACACCCAUCUGGUACCAACAAUAGUGUGACCUUUUGGCUUUGGAACGAGUUGCCACACUUUGUUUCUUUUAAACUCUUCCAGUUCCUCUUGCAUUGUGGAUAUCCAGUUGGCCUCCAUUAAGUCUUCUUUGAUUGUUCUGGGCUCGACCGAAGACAUAAACGCUGCAUAGUGACAGUGAUCAGAUAAAUCUUUGGAGGAUUGAGUUUGGAUACCUACGGAUAGAUUGCCGACGAUUUGAACCGGUGGGUGGUCCUUCAUCUAUACAUGUAGAUGUGGUUAUAGAUGAUCAGCAGCUGCGGUGGAUGAAAUAUCUUUAAUAUUUGAAGAAGGCAGUUCCCCCUGGACUUGUGAGCAGCCCACUGAAUUGUCUUGGCCUGGGAAAGUGAGAUUAGUAUUUUCUUGAGCAAGUGAGAGAGGUUCCCCCUGGAUUGCGGAUGGGAGUUCCCCUUGAACAUGAGAAGGUUCUCCCUGGAAUGUUGAGAGAGUGAUAACCCUUGGAUCGGUUUCCGUGUCAAUGUUCUUCUCUAUAUCUUCAUCAUCUGAGUCUGAAGAGACAUUUGAUGGAAGAGUAAUUCUGUGGAUAGGGACCGAAGCUGCUUCCUCAGGUACUGGAACCUCGAUGGUUGUCACUCGAUUCGGAAUGGAGCUUUCCCCCUCAACCGACGAGGUGGAAGUAUUGAGUGACACAUCAUCAGAUAGAGUAGGACCAUAAACUUCGACAUGCUGCUGUUGAGCUUUCGGAGACACAAGAACUUCGGAAAGUUGAGCAGUCUCUAUGGGGUCAAAGAGAUCAUCAUAGUUUAUUUCAACUAUGUUUAGAGGACCCGAGGAGGCUGGGAUAUCACCUUCUAGGAUUGCUUUCGUUUCAUUUGAAGGAGUAGUGUUGCGAACGUAAUAGUCAUCGAAUUUGAUGUCGAAGCUUUCAACUAUGAGUCUCAUGCGUCUGAUGAGAACCCUAUAGGCUACCUUGUUCGUUGAGUAGCCAAGGAAAAUGUCUUCAUCUGACUUUGGUGCAAAUUUGUUAAGAUGAUCUUUGUCGUUAAUCACAAAAAAUCUACACCCAAAGAUGUGAAAGAAUCUGACAUUUGGCUUGCGGUUGUUAAGGCCCUCAUACGGAGUUUUGUUGAGACGCUUGCAGAUAAUGCUUCGGUUUUGAACAAAGCAUGACGUGGCCUCUUCUUUGGCCCAGAAAUAGAGAGGAAGAUUCGCGAAGUUAAGCAUAGAUCUGGCUACUUCCACCAGAGUUCGGUUUCGUUUCUCUAUUACUCUAUUCUGCUGUGGGGUGUAAGGAACUGAGAUAUUGUGGCUGAUGCCUUUUGAAACCAAGAAACUGUUCAGAAUAUGAUUUGUAAACUCGGUUCCAUUAUCACUUUGGAUGCAGCGCACUGGUAAUUUGAUUUGAAUUUCGAUUUCUUUGAAAAAUUUGAUCAGCACCUGCGGAGUUUCUGAUUUGAGUCUCAGGAAGAAGAUCCAUGUGAAACGAGUAAAGUCAUCAACUAUAACCAAUAUGUAUUUUUUGUGGUGGAGGCUGGCUACGGUAGAUGGACCGCAGAGAUCAAGGUGUAUGAGUUCCAGUGGUUCAGAAAUUGAAGAAUCAAUCACCAUAGGAUGGCUUGCUUUUGAUUGUUUGCCACAUUCACAGGCUGAGCAGAGGGUAUCAUUGUUGAAUUUGAGAAUGGGAAGACCUCGGACGAGUUCUCCAGUGACCAAAUUGUUGAUAUAUCUGAAGUUAAGAUGGGCUAGCUUUUGGUUCCAUAGCCAGUUGACUUCAGAUAUUGCUUUGGAUAUAAAGCACAUAUGUGCUUUCCCAAUUAUCAAAGAAAUGUCCAAAGGAUACAUGGUCCCUUCAGAUUUGGAUUUGAUCAAAUAGGUGCUUCUAUCGCUUCUCAUUAUGUAGCAGUAUUCAAUAUCAAAUUCAACCUUGCAGCCUACUUUACACAGUUGGCCUACACUGAUGAGAGUGUGUUUAAGACGUUUUACGUAGGCUACCUUUUGAACAGUGAAGUUCCCUGUAGUAAGCACACUGUAACCUCAGAUUAUUCCAUUCGCAUUGUUGUCGAAUGUGACGUUUCCACCAUUGCAAAUAGGCCUGAAAUCCCGAAGGUAUUCUAACCUUCCAGUCAUGUGCAAGGAGCAGGCACUAUCUUGAUAGGUAUUCGAAGCUUCUUGGGUUUCUUGGAUAUUCAUUAGCGGAUUUGAAGACCGAUGUUACUUCGAGGGGGAGUUUGGUCUUGAUCGCGCGAGCUCGUUGGAUACUGAAGCCAGGACAUCGAAUAUCAACUUUGAGGGGGAGAAUGUUAGGGUGCAAAGUCACUCUUGGAUGUAGUAUUUUAGGCUUACCCUCUUUUAUGUGAAAAUGGGUUGAUUCUUUCCUAUAAAUAGGAAGAGAGUGACUCCCAUUAUGUAAGAAACCAUUUGGAGUGUUAGACUAGAGAGAGAAAUUUGUACAAACCCGUUUGUAUAUCCUUUCUAGAUCUAAUAUGAGCUUACAAAGAUUUAUUUACUCCCUGUGUUCUUGAGUUUACAUUAUGAAUCACUAGAUCUUUUCUAAUUCCACACAUGCCAUCAUAAUCAACACCACUACAAUUGGUAUCAGAGCGGGUGUUCCUGAUUGGAUCAAGAAUUGAUCCUUGAUGGCUAUCUUGAUUUGGUGAUUCAUUUUUUGAUCUUUGAUCAUCAUGUUUUAGAGAGUUUUUGGAUUCUAGAAAUCGAAUUCAUCUUUGAUUCUAUUCAUAAUUUGAUUUUCUUCACUAGAAUUCAAGGGAUUUUUCCUUUCACUCUCUAGAAAACCCAUUUGAUUACCACUUUCUCUCUCUAGAAAUCUUCAAGUUUUUGUGAUCAUGGUGAAUUUGCCUUACAAUUCUUGGAUUGUGAUCGUUGAAGAUAUCAAAUACAAAGUCAAUAAAGAUCAAUAUUAUGGGUUGGUGUUAAACAAGUUGAUAUAUUGGGAAACUAUGGUUUCUUGUGGAGGAUUGAAGGAUGAUCAUGGAAGCUUGAUAUUUCAACCACUUUAUGAGAUCAAAUGGUUGGUUGAUAUUACAUGGUUCAUAUCAACACGUAGUAGUGCUAAGAUUGGAGACGAAAAAUAUUUGUUCAAAAAGAAAUAUGUUUCUCUUAUUGAAGACCCAAAUGAUCUUCGUGCUCUUGACAAUGGAGUUCAAUGUAAUGUUCUUGAUGUUCAAGAAAAAGGAGUUCAUGUUGAUUCUCAUGAUGAAAAAGUUUUUUGCUUGAUUAGAGUUCAAACAGAAGAUAUUUUGUGUUCUUGUGAUUUGUUUGAAGGAAUGAUUCCGUAUCGGAAGCCGGUGAUCCAAGAAAAUCAUAAGUAUAAAACUCCAAAACAUUUAAUUCAAAUUCACAAAGUUGAUGUUGUGGAAAGUGGGUUUGUUCAUGAAGUCAAGUCUUCAAGAUGAAAAAAGACGAGAAAGAAAAAGAAGAAGAAGAAGAUUAAUCGCAAAAAUAAGCGGGUUUAUUCACAAAAAUCGUCGAAUGUUGUUGUGAAGCCAAAAUCCGUGAAAUAAAUUUGGGUUCCAAAGCAACAAUCUACAAAGGUUGCAUUGAAUUUGAAGUCAAAACCCAAAAGUGUUCGUGGUUCUUUAGAAGAUGUUAUUGGUUUGAUUAAGAACACGAAGAACGAGUUGUACAUCUGUGACAACCCGAAAAUUCUUUCCAUUAUUGUAACUCGUUCCGUUAAUAAAUUCGUCGUUUUCGAAUUAUUUCCGUUUUCAUUAUUAAAUUAAGUCAUAAUAUUUGGGUUGUUUAUUAUGACUUAAUGGUUGUUCAACAUAAUAAUAAAUCAAGGAAAUAAUUCAAAAUUAAAUAUUAGUAAAUUUUUAAUUUCGACCAUAACGAGUUACGGCAACUUUAUCGGGUGCGACCAAAAGCAUCGUAUAUCGUCAGUAUCGGGUAGAAUUCCUCCGGGUCCCAAACCCAACCACUAUAAAAAGGGUGUAUGGGCAACAUUUGAAGACUUUUUCUCAUCUCACAACUUUCUCUCACUACUCUCUCUCUAGAAAUCGAAAUUGGUCCAAAAAUCCUCUUUUCAAGCUUCAUUUUGGUAAGGAAUCUAUCCUAGCAUGUUUCUAAGCUUGUUUACCUUUCUAAUUCAUGUUGAAAUCACCCAAAACACCUAUGAACAUGUGUUCACGGUUUGGGGACCCUCCCAAAACCGUGAACUCCUCUAAAGAGGGUUUUGAAGCCCCAAAACCCCUUCAAACCACUUCUAGGGCCUAAAUUCGACUUAGAAACUUGCAUGCAUGAGCUUAGGACCCCAAAAUCGCACAAAAUGAGGCAUGGACAUGAGUUUACGGUCCAAGAAAAUGCUUGGGCCGUAAACCCUCAUUCAUAGACCUUAAACACCUUGUUGGGUGUUAGUUUGCCCCUAAACACCUCCAAUGGAGUUGCGUGAGUGCAUGGAACCUUGUAACCCUUCAAGAAAUGCACUAAAUCAUGCACAAAUGGGAAAAACUUGAGUUUACAGUCCAAGAACAUUCUUAGACCGUAAACUCAUCUCCUUAUACCAUAAACUCCUUCAAUGGGUGUUAAAGUGCCCUUAAACACCUUCAAAAGCUUCCACGGGAGUGUAGAACCUCAUAAUCCUUCAUGUGAUGCACCAAAACAUCCUCAAAGGCAUCAAACUUGAGUUUACGGCCCAAGAACAUUCUUGGACCGUAAAACCACCUCCUUAGGCCCUAAACACCCCUCAAAGGGUGUUAAGGUGCCUUUAAUCCCUUGAAUAGCCUGGUUUUGGACCUAGAAUCACAUGUGAUUGAAUUACAACCACCAAAGCCCUUGAUUCAUGGACAAACAUGAGUUUACAAUUGUAAACUCAUGAUUUUAAGGUAGUAAACUCUCCAAGAACAUCUCCUUAGAACUUAAACUCAUUUCCCAAGGUCAUUUCAAGUCCCGAUCACUUCCUAAGCCAUGGAAUCGACCCUAGAACCUUCCCGUGUGCAUGGCUUUUCCAUUUGGCAUCCAAGAACCCACCAUCCAUGCGUUUACAGCCAUAAACUCAUGGGUAUAUGGUCAAUGGGCAUAAACUCCUCAAGGAAUUUACUCUUGAAGAGUAAACUCCAUAUUUAGGCCCUACACAACAUUAGAUGCUACCCGGAUCACUCCUAACACUUGAAUUGAAGUGUUUUCACAUCUUGGAGUGCAUAUUCAUGUCUAAUUAAUGGUUCAAAGUCUAAUUAGAUACAUUUGUAUAUCAUUUCAUAUUUCAUAGGAACCUCGCGCGUAAUCAAGCCCCGAACUGACAAUUAACAUCCAAACUGUCACGUUUUCCCGACUGGUGAGUUCAUACCCCUACCCUUUUUCACUGUUUUUCACUGUUUUCAAGGGGAAUACAAGCAAAGUAGAAGGGAUAUUUGUACUCAAAACUUGUUUUACAUGUGUGUGUUUCAUAUUUCAUAUGCUUUUAAUACUGAUAGACAUAACAGGUAACCAUUUGAACAUGCAGAACACGUAAACAUAUUAUUUGUGAAAUACGUUAUAAAAUGUUGUAUUUUAUAUUUUCACAAAUGGUUUUCCACAUUAUAUCAGUUAAAAGCAUGACAUUUGAACACUGAACUUAAAACUUAGUACACUGUUUUGUCCUCGGUAACACUCCACAGAGAUACGUGAGUGGAGGAUUAUUGUUCAUAACAGGAUCUUUCUGUAUUAUUACUAGUAAACUUGUUAUUCCUAUAAAUUGGAGACACGUCCUCGGUCAACACUCCACAGAGAUACGCGAGUGGAGGACCGCACCCGUAACCAGAAUCUCUUAGAUAGGUAGCGUGACUUGAGUGUAUAGAUCUAUACGGGGCUGACUACCCCACACUUGGCUGCUAGCUACAGCCGAACCGAAAGGUUCAAGGGUGACGAAAGUCAUAAGGUGAUGUGGACUACUUAUUGCCAUAUCUAGUCUAUCGUAUGGUUAUGGAACUCGCAAUUAGAAUAACAGAGAUUUACUUAAUAGUAAUAAUGAGUAAAGUAAUUCAAUUACUUUGUAUAUGUUAGUUUUAUACAUGUGUUAAAACUAAUACAUUUCACAAUGGUAAACAUGUUUUCAGUAUACAUCUUUCACAUUUGGUAACCAACAUUCAGGAAAAUAUUGGAUUUUCCUGGGGAAACAUUUGUACAUAACCAGAACAGUGUAACAAACCAUAUAACCUAACUUUACAUUUCACAAGGGUAAACAUGUUUUCAGUGUACAUCUUUACAUUACAUUUUUGGAUUCAAUAACCAACUCUUAAGAAAAUAUGGGAUUUUCUUGGUGUGUAACAUUUUCAUAAACGGAAAGGAACUUGUACAUUUUCACAAAACAAAACCACUUAUGAACUCACCAGCAUUAUGCUGAUUUUCAAACUGCUUGUAUUCUCAGGUCCGCAUUAGACAGGUACCCGAUGAUUCCUUUUGGCAAAGACGGAGUGCGUAGAAGACUCGUCUCACUUUUGUUCAUAUAUACUAUGUAUCACACUUGUACAACUUUACUUUCAAACAAAUGUAAACUUUUAUAUAUGUAAUGUAAUGGUUGUUUGCUUUACUUACUAUGUGCAUUGGAUUUGAUACUCAACGUGGAGUCAAGCCCGAUAAUGUUUCCGCCUUCGGUUUUCGGGGUGUGACAGAAUCUCACAUAGUGGGUGGUACAAUGUUCAAAUUGGACAUUUUCUCAUUCCAACAAAAGAACCAAGACCUUCUAAAUUUGAAUCGUUCGUCAAAAAUGGAAAUCGAUUCGUCAAAAGGUACCUCAAAUUCUCAAAUGGAUUCCAAAACGUCCAUGAUUUCAAGUCGUAUUUUACGUUUUUCAUUUUUGAUCGAUUUGCCUCAUUAGAUCGAAUCCAUUUCAACCCCUCAGAUGAUCCAAUUAUUUUUGUUUAGAUAAAAACCAAAAUCAUUCUCUUAAAAUCAAUUUUACUGUUCAUUAUUUAUAAUGAUGAGCCCAAAGGAUAAUAGUCUGAUAUUGUUCAUCAAUGUAUCAUGUUGAGCCCGAAUUCCUUUGUUUCAAUUCUCAAUAAUUCAUCCGAUAUUAUUGUUUUUGAGCCCAUAGAUCAUUAAACUGAAAUCGAAAUUGAAUACUUCCAUUCGUUCACUUCUAGUACUUGUACAUUUCGUUGUUCUUGAAUUGUGUUCAUACGAAUACAUUUUCUUCUCAUCAUUCUUAACAAUCAAUUCUUAUUGAUUGUUAAUUUGAAACUAGAAAUUGAUUUCGUAUGAUUUUUAAUAUGACGAUAUCAAUUUUAUUCGAGCUAUAUUUGAGAAAUCGGAAAUUGAUUUGUUGAUCUUGUAAAUCAUGGUCAAUAAUACUUGAAGGUGAUGAAGAACAGUGAAACGUUCAUAUUUUGAUCUGAAAUUUGGCAUUUGAAACAUCAAUUUCAUGUUUGUUUACAACUGAAAUAAAAAAGUCAAUCCAAGAAAAAGUCAGAAUCGACUUCUAUAGGUUAAUUCUUUGAAUUGUAAGUUGAAAUUGUUUUUGGAUUCGAUCGAUCGAAGCCUUUAGUGUGAUGAUCGAUAAUUUUGAUUUGGAAAGGCUAUAUGUUUGAUAACGAAUUUGAUUUUGGGUUGAAUGAAAAGCGAAGUCUUAGGUUUCACAGUCGACACUUAAAAGUCGAUGUUUGAAGAUUUGGAUUGUGAUAGCAAAGGAUAUUGAGGGUUGGUUGAUUGAAAUCGAAAGAUUGUUGAAAGCAGUGAAUUUGUGUUUCAUUCGCGAAGUUUGUGAUUUUGUAAUUUAUUUGGGGUCGAAUGUUCUUAAUCAAUGGUCGAUUUUGGUUUGAUUUUGAUGAACUGGAUGAGUCGAUUGAUGAUUUCGAAAGCUGAUGAGAUCGCAGAAUUGGAUUUUCGAUGGUCGAUGUUGGUAUGUUGAUCGACAUGACUCGGAAUCAAAUCGGUGGUUUCAAAAGAAAGGAUUUCGAUUGGUGUUUAUCAAUAACAGUUUAUAGGGGUCAAACAAAGAAAAGUCAAAAUCGAUUCCUUAGUUUUUCAGUCAGUGAAUUUUGUUUUGAUUUUUGAGAUUAAAGGAUCGAUGUUAGAUGUUGGACGAAGCAUUGAGUAUCAUAGUUAUUGAUUUUGGAUUUGGAAUUGUCAAUCGAUGUUCGAAAGAGAUGGCUUGGGAACGAACUGAGACUCACGAACUCAGAUGUUCGUUCUUGGGAUUUUGAUGGAUUUGGAAUCGAUGGUUAGGGAAGGCUAUGAACUCAAUCGUGUUGUUGAUGAUUUUGGAUGUUGAUAUCAAUUCAGUUUUGACGAUUAGUAACGAUCUUAGUUUGUAAGUCGAUAUUCGAUUUGUGUACAACAGAAAAUCGAUGUUGAUGGUUGAUUAUUUGGAAACGCGAAGCGACGAGAGAUUCAAUAGUUGAUGUUGUUGAUCAGAUUUUGAUUUGUGAUUUCAAAAGUUGUGAUUUUUGGAUGUUGACGAGUUUUUGGAUGUUUGUUACUGAAAAACUGUUAGGUUCAGUAUAGUGUUGCGUCUAUUGGGCUCGUUAGCUAGUCCAAUGUUUAUCUUUGGUAUGGGCCUGUCCAUCCGUGAGUUUUGUAGGGUUUAGUAUAAAUAGAUGCGUGCAUGCAUCCUAGAACGAGAUGAUUAGAAACGAUUAGAGAAGUAUUGUUCAGCAUAUUCAUCGAUCUUAUUUUGUAACCCUAGAAUCCUCUACAGUGGAAGUUCUUAGUCGAGCUCUACAGAGGAUCGAGUAAUCUAAUCAUUCGACACAUUCUGAUUUAUACUUGUGUUUCGUUUUUACUAUCUUUACGUUCAUUACUUACCUGUUACAAAGAUCUAAUCGAUCAAAGAGUUAUUUUAUAACUCAUCAAUUGUUAUCAGAGCAGGAGGUUGUGUAAUUCAUACACAUCUUUUCUGUGAAAGAGUUUGCGAUUAGGGUUAUUCCUCAUUAACUAAUAUUUAUUGAGCCGUCAUUCCAUAAUUGACAUAACUCAGCAUUUAUUUGUUUUGCCCUAAUAUUACAUAUUACAAGUCUGAUCUUUCAAACAAGUUAAACGAUCAAGCAUGGACGAGUCACAAUCUAAUCCCAUCAACAUCUCAAAUAGCAUUGGAUCAACGACGAAGAUUCCUAUUCUUUACACCCAGGAUUACGAAGUCUGGGCGCAUCAUUUUGAAGAUUAUGUCAUCGGAUAUGAAGACAAUGGAUANUGGGAAGCAAUCGUUUCUGGACCAUUUGCUCACUCAGGAACAUCAAAAAUCAUUAAAACUCAGAAAGAGUAUAAUGAUCUGUUAAAGGACGUAAAGGAUGUUGCUCAAGACGAAAAGGAAAAGUUUCAAUGCAACAUUAAAGCAUUGAGACUGAUUCGAUUCGCUCUGCAAUCAGAUACAUUCAGGCUAGUGAGUUCAUGCAGCACUGCUAAAGAAAUAUGGGAUAGGCUGCGAGAGCUAUAUUCCACAGAUGAAGAUUUGGAGCAUUCUAUUCAGACCUUGCUUUUGUCUGAGUUUGGUGAAUUUAAGCAGAAUUCUGAUGAAACUGUUACUCAGACGUUCGAUCGCUUCAAUCAUCUUCUUAGCAAGAUGAUCAAACACGAUAUAGAAAGGAAGCUGAUUGAACAAAAAGUAACCUUUUUGAAUGGCCUUAGAUCCGAGUGGAGAGCGGUUGUGUCCACUGUUAAAGCUCAUGAGCAAUUUAAAUCUUAUUCAUUGGCAAAGAUGGUGGGGAUUCUAAAAUCCCAAGAAAAGAUUGUCUUGCAAGAGAAAAAUGUGGUCUCAAGUUUGGGGUCAUUGGCACUCCUGUCUAAAAGCAAAAGUGUGGUAGAAGAUGAAAUUCUCAGCUUAGAAGACUAUGAUCUUACUUCUGAAGACUAUGCAAUGAUGGUGUCGAAUCCAAAGAGGUUCAUUAAGAAAAGGUUCCCUACCAAUAAGAACCGAAAUUGGCAGGGAAGCUACAGUUCUGAAAAGGUUAGGGAGGAACCGAAGACAGAGGAACCAAAGAAAGAGGCGAAAGUUGAAGGAGAUUCAGGUGUGAACUGCUACUACUGUGGAGGAAAGAACCACUAUGCCAAAGACUGCGUUCUAAAGAAAAUGGCAGAGAAGGAUGAGGAAAAAGAUGAAGAGGCCGUGUUGAUGAAAAAGCUGGAAGAGAUCAAGAGAAAGAAAGCUACUACUAACCCUUCAAUGAAUGCUUUAAUUGUGCAGGGUUCGGCAGCGGAUGAUGAGUUCGGUGGCGUGCAGGUCUGGUCAACCGACUCAGAGGAUGAUGAAGUCAGGAAGCCAUCUCAUGGAAAGGCGUAUGUUACAAGAGGUGAUGAAAGCAGUGGGAAGUGUUUGAUGGUGGCAGAUGUAUCUGAAAUGAGGGGAUACAAUACAGACGGUGGGAAAGAGGACACCAAGGAGCGAGAGGACUUAUGCUUCACAGCAAAACCUCUCAGUGUGCAGAUCAAUGAGCUUGAUGAAUUGAUCAAGAAGGUACAAUCCGUUUUUGUUUCAUUCAAAGUCCCACAAAAUUCAUAUGAAAAAGAAUUAAAAAGCUUAAAUUCAAGAAUCUCAAAUCUAGAUAGCAGUUUAACUCAAACACGGGUCAUCCAAGAGUGAGGAACGGAGGAUGUGGAUAGAGCUGAAGGAGUCGGAGCUGGUUAAAUCUAAGGACAAAAACAUUUAUUUACAAACAGACAAUUUAAAACUUCUGAAACAGAGAAAUGUUUUUUGUUUAAUUGCUAAACGUCUUUAUGCUAACAUCACUCAACUUCAUCUGAACUGUGAAAUAGGGCAGAAAAUUCAUCGCAUGAUUUUGCCCUUCCUUGAGUUUAAGGAGGAUGAAAUCGAUGCUGAAGCAUAUAAUUGCGAAAGUGUAGUUUCGUCUGAUGAUGUGAAUCCGACUUAUAUGUAUGGUCUGGACAAAAUCGAAUCUUUUAUAAAGUCCAAGGACCAUAAGGACAUGCUGAAAAACCUUUUGGAUGAAAACGAUAAACUGAAACUAAGGACCGAAACCAUACAAAAAUUUGACUCAUUGAAUGCCAACUUGAGCUCAGAAAAUAAAAUUGAUGUUGAAAACGCGUCUGAGCUUAAUGAGGAUGAUGAUAUGAGCGUAAUUUCUGUAGAGGAUGAAGUUGACUGUUCUGAGUUUGUCAAGAGCGAACCCGAAAACCACAAAAAUCUUAUUUCUGAAAAUUCUGUGGAGUUUGCUCGUUUGUCCCAAAAUAAGUCCCCGAUUCUUGAAGAAAAGGCCGUUGUGUACCAAAAGGUGAGAACAACACCAAAUCAGGUGUAUAAGGUCACAGGAGUAACCGAACAUCAGACAGCCGAAUUCACCGCCAUAGUAAUCAAAAAUAAUGCAAAUGGCUGCGAUGAGUUUUUCUGGUCUGCUCCUAUAGAUAAUGCUGACGAAAUCGUUGGUCUGUCAGAGCGAACGUCCUGGAAAACCAAAGGCAGAUAUGUGCCAGAGCCACUAAACAAGCCUGACAACUUCGAUGUGCCAAGUACUAGUGGUACAAAAGAAGUUCCUGUAGAAGAAGUCACUCCUACAAGCGAAACAUCAUCUGUUAAAAGUGAACCGGCUGACAGGAAGCAAAAGCAAAAAGCCAACAUCCACCGACAGCCAAAGCAAGUGAAGGAUCAAAAGCAGCAAAGGAAUCUGAGAUACAAAAAGAAUCUCUCAGAGCGAAAACAGUUUUGGCGAUCUCAAAACGCCCAUUUCUCUUAUCAUGACAAAAAUUCAAAGUCAGAGAAAAGUACUGUCAGGCCGCAAGAAAGUAAUAACAACCGAAAGGACAGGUUCGGUUCUAAAAGGAAUAACAACCGAAGGGAAAGGUUCGGUUCAGAGAACACCAGCUACCGAAAGCAUAGGUUCGGUUCCGAGAGCAAAAGCUAUCAAGGUUCAAGGUUCGGUCCCACUAAUGACCAAAACCUAAAGGGUCACUUAGAACCUCAAGUCAAGAAAACAUCUCAGUCUAAAUUCUCUCAUUCUAAUUCUUCUCAACCCCAUUCUAAAUCCAAUUCUGUUCAAACUCAAAAUCCAAAAUCUUCAACAGAUUUGAAAGGAAAAUCGAAGGUUUCCUCAGUCAAGAAUGAUCAAAAGCAUUCCAAGGCCCAAACGCCUGAACCUGAAUCCAAACCGACUGUAACAAAUCCUAACAAAAUUAAAGUUUUCACUAUUAAGAAGAAAGAUGAAACAACUUUAAUAAAAAGAACAUAUCUUGUUGACAUUUCUCUUACUAUUCCUGUUCCUGUGAAAGGCUCACGUGGACCCAAGAAACUUUGGGUUCCUAAAUCUGCUUGAUUUUUGCAGGUUAUCAGUGACGAGCAGUUCGAUGAAGAAUGGUAUAGUGACAGUGGCUACUCACGUCACAUGACAGGAAGGAAGGAAGAGCUGAGGGAAUAUCGAUCUCUUCCAAACAGCGGGAAUGUCAAAUUCGGGAACAACUCAUAUGGCACGAUAGAAGGUUAUGGGAUGAUAACAAAUGGAGACUUCACGAUUAGAAAAGUUGCGUACGUUGAAGGGCUACAACACAACCUCAUCAGUGUAUCUUAGCUUAUUGGAGGAACCAGUCUUAAAGUUUCAUUUGACGAUGAGGGUUCGGAAAUAAUAGAGAAGAAAACAAAAAGAGUGAUUCUCAAAUCAGAGCGCAAAGGCGAAAUGUUUCCUCUCAAUCUCAAACCUAUCAAAGGAAAUCCAGCUAUCUGUCUGUUAUCCAAAGCACAUUCUGACGAAAGCUGGCUGUGGCACCGAAGGCUCUCCCAUCUCAAUUUCAAGGAUAUCAACAAACUUGUCACAGGAGGUCAUGUUCGGGGUCUUCCAUUGCUCAAGUUUGAUCGAGAACAUUUGUGUGCUGCGUGUGAAAUGGGGAAGCAGAGUCGUCAAAGUCACCCAUCCAUUAUAAACACUAAAGUCGUUGAACCACUUGAGUUAAUUCACAUUGAUUUGUGUGGUCCAUCAUCUAUCGAAAGCAUUGGCGGUAGCAAGUAUAUUCUUGUUAUUGUUGAUGACUUUUCACGUUUUACAUGGGUGUUCUUUCUGAAGCACAAAUCUGAGGCAACUCUCAAGCUAAAGAUGUUUGUCAAGCAGAUUGAAGUGCAACUGAGGAAAGUCGUUCGCAACAUUAGAAGCGACAAUGGGCUGGAGUUCAAAAAUAAAGAAUUUGAAGACUUUUUGGUAGAAAAAGGAAGCAGUCACAACUUCUCACCCCCUACACCCCUCAACAAAAUAGAAUUGUCGAAAGACACAACCGAUCUUUGUGUGAGGCGGCUCAAACCAUGUUAAGUUUUGCUUCUCUACCUCUAUAUUUCUGGGCUGAUGCUAUUGAUGCAACAUGUUUUACGCAGAACAGGUCCUAUCUCAAUAAGCGUUUCACUCUUACUCCUUAUGAGAUCGUCAACAACAGGAAGCCGAACGUUAAAUUCUUCCAUGUAUUCGGCUCACGAUGCUUUAUCUUCAACUCUAAAGAACAUCGUAACAAGUUCGACGUUAAAGCCGAUGAAGGGAUUUUUCUGGGAAACUCUAUUACUUCAAAAGCAUAUAGGGUUUUAAAUAAGCGUUCGAGGAAGAUUGAAGAAACGUAUUAUGUGACUUUCGAUGAUAGCUACGUCAAGAAGCUGAAGGCCACUGAAGAAACAGUUGGAGAAAUUUUCUCUCAAACAGGCCAAGUCAUGGCCUCGAUUGCAAAUCUAUUUGAGCAGUUUGUGGAGUUAUUCAAUGAACCGGAGAAGGCUACUCUCUCAGAAGCCAAUGCAGCAGACAACAAAGUUGACCAUCUGAAGCAAAUCGUCGAAGACGCUGCCAAAUGAAUGGAUGAAGGAGUAUCAGUUCCAAAUGAACCUCCUCAACACGGUGCUUCAGUUAAGGGGGAGAAUCCAUCUUCUUCAAAACAGUAGAGUUCACAAGUUGAGGGGGAGAACUCUUCUCCAGCUGCACCCGAAAGCUCUACUGCACCCGAAGGUACUGUAGCUCCCGAAAGCUCAAUGGCACCCGAAAGUCCUGUAGCACCGGAAAGUCAAGAUACACCUGAAAGCUCAUCAGUCGAGGGGGAGAAUGCCGAUAUGUUUUAUGACGAUGAUAGUCAAUCUGAAUUAGAAGAAGUGGUAAAUGCUGAAUUGGAUCCAUCCUAUGAUCCAAAUUACCCUCCUCUUGUCAAAUGGACCAGAGAUCAUCCUGUUUCACAGGUUGUGGGUAAUGUCUCUGAAAAGGUCUUGACCCGAUCUCAACUGAAGGCAAAGCAAAAAUCUUUGUUCUCAAAAGUAGAGUUCUGCAUGUUUAACUCUUUCGUCUCAAAAGUUGAACCAAAGACAGUAAACACUACUCUUGAUCACUCUGAUUGGGUUCAAGCUAUGCAAGACGAACUUAAUGAGUUCGAAAGAAAUAAGGUUUGGCGCCUCAUUCCAACUCCUAAAGAUGCCUCGGUUGUUGGUCUCAAAUGGGUCUUCAGAAAUAAAAUGGACAAGGAAGGCAAUGUGAUAAGAAACAAAGCUCGUCUAGUGGUGAAAGGAUACUGCCAGGAGGAAGGAAUCGAUUAUGAGGAAACUUUUGCUCCUGUAGCUAGGCUGGAAUCUGUUCGAAUAUUUCUUGCCUAUGCUGCACACAAGAACUUUGAGGUCUACCAAAUGGACGUAAAGUGCGCAUUUCUAAAUGGAGAACUUGAAGAAACGGUGUACGUGGAGCAACCUCCGGGAUUCGUCAAUGAAAAGUACCCCAAUCACUGCUAUAUUCUGGACAAAGCGGUUUAUGGGCUGAAACAAGCACCUAGGGCCUGGUAUGAAACGCUAACCAAGUUUUUAAAGAUGUCCAAAUUCAAACAAGGUUCGGUUGACCCAACCUUCUUUCGUAAGAAGGAAGGUAACCACCUUAUGAUUGUUCAAAUCUAUGUCGAUGAUAUCAUCUUUGGCUCAACGAAUCCUAGCUUAACAGCUGAAUUCAGAAAGCUGAUGGAGACUAAAUUUGAAAUGAGCUCAAUGGGUCCGAUUAAUUUUUUCCUUGGUUUAAAUAUUAGACAGGGACCCAAAGGCAUCUUUAUUAACAAGGAAGCAUAUACUAAGACUCUCCUUGCUAAAUUCGUAAUGAUGGGAGACUCAAAGGUUAAAGUUCCAAUGGCGUUCGGCACCAAGGUCACUUGAUCCUUGGAUAAGCCAACAGUCGAUAUUACGCUAUAUCGCCAGAUGAUCGGUUCUUUAAUGUACCUUACUGCUAGCAGGCCUGAUAUAAUGUUUUAUGUUUGUUACUGUGCUAGAUUUCAGGCGAAUUCUCGUGAACCUCAUAUGCUUGCAGUGAAGAACAUACUCUGGUAUCUAAAACGAACUACCUCUCUCGACCUAUGGUAUCCAUCAAACUCAGGUUUCUUCGUUCAAGCCUACUCAGAUGCAGACCUUGGAGGUUGUGGACUAGACAGGAAAAGCACCACUGGAGGCUGCCAAUUCCUUGACGGGAAGUUGGUUAGCUGGCAAUCAAAGAAACAGACUUGUGUAGCUCUGUCUACAGCUAAAGCAGAAUAUAUCGCAGUUGCCUCCUGUACAUCUCAAGUGAUUUGGAUCCAAAGCCAGCUCCGGGACUAUGGACUCAAUAUGAAAAAGAUCCCACUAUAUUGCGACUUUGAGAGUGCAAUUAGGAUCAGUCAUAACCCAGUGCAACACUCCAAGACUAAGCACAUAGCACUGAGGUAUCACUUUAUUAAGGAUCAUGUGGAAGAUGGGAACGUCGAAAUUCAUUUUGUUCGAACCACUGAUCAACUGGCUGACAUCUUCACCAAAGCUCUUCCUGAAGCUUCUUUCAACAAAAUUCUACAAGGGCUAGGAAUGAUGGAAUUGGAGUCAGUACCAAAAAUUACCUCUCAAGCUUAAAAGUAAGAAGCGAAAUAGACCGAACGUUCGGGUUCGGGACUCAUGUAUGCCGAAAUGAACCUAACGCUUGGGUUCGGGUCUUGUUCUGGUGUACCGAAAUGAACCGAACGCUCGGGUUCGGUUGUAUCAUCUGAUCUUCGCUUAUCACUCAAAGGUAGUUUCUUUGGUUGUAAAUCUUUUGUAUUAUUUUUCCAAAUUCAUUUAUCUUAUUGUCAAAGUUCUUUUCUUUUUCAAACUUAUUUUUUUGGCAACCGAAAUAGACCGAACAUUCGGGUUCGGUUCCAAAAUUUUUCUCACCCGAAAUAGACCGAACGCUUGGGUUCGGUUCCAAAAUUUUCUCAACCGAAAUAAACCGAACGCUCGAGUUCGGUUCCAACAUUUUUUUGUAUUCAUUUUUUUAUGUCUUAUUUUCCUUUUAUCAAAAAUUCCAAAAAUAUUUUUUUAUUAUUUAGUAUUAUUUUUUUNGUAUCAUCUGAUCUUCGCUUAUCACUCAAAGGUAGUUUCUUUGGUUGUAAAUCUUUUGUAUUAUUUUUCCAAAUUCAUUUAUCUUAUUGUCAAAGUUCUUUUCUUUUUCAAACUUAUUUUUUUGGCAACCGAAAUAGACCGAACGUUUAGGUUCGGUUCCAAAAUUUUCUCAACCGAAAUAAACCGAACGCUCGGGUUCGGUUCCAACAUUUUUUUUGUGUUCAUUUUUUUAUGUCUUAUUUUCCUUCUUAUCAAAAAUUUCAAAAAUAUUUUAUUGUUAUUAUUUUUUUUAAAUUCAAAAACUCCAAAAAUAAUUUUUUUAUUAUUAUUUAUUUUUCUCUUUCUUUAUUUUAUUUUAAUUUUGGCUCUUAUCUUUUUGUAUGUCUCUUUGUGGGUAAAUCAUUUCACUAGCUAAGUGUCCCUAGAAGCAUGCUGCUGUAUGUGUCCAAAGCCUCACCUGAUUCUGAAUAAAAGCCUUACUGACUUGGUACAAACAAACCUUGUCUUCCCAAUUAGGCUCUCAUAUUUAUUCUAAUCAUGAGCUACCUAACUCUCUUCUCACAUGAGAUAAGAGUUUUCUGCUUAGUCCUUAUUUUUCACAGCAGAGGUACUUUGGUCUCUUUACACCAUCUACAUUACUUUUUCUCCAUCUCAUUCGCUUCACAAACGUAACCCUUGAGACUCUCAGACAUUACCACUGAGGUUUAUGGUUGCACAAUUUCUGUGUUCAUGAUCUUAGCUUCGUGUCACUACGUGCUAAGUGAAACCCACAAUUCAAUACCUACUAUGCAUUGACGGUGAACAAUUAACUUGCUCUAGCUUUCACUAAUGAAUUGACGGACUUAUCCAUGGGGGUAUAACAUGAAAUCUCUAUUUUUCUUUUGAGUGAUUCCUAUGAAAUUGUUAAAUCCAAUAACAUUUCUUCCCUUGGGAUCCAGUUUUAAUUUUUUUGCAUACAUUAGUUUACCUUGCCACGUAAAUUAUCUCCAACCUACUUGUUCAACAGACUACAUUGGUCUCACAAGUACUUGGUUCGAUUUCUAUCUUAUAUCAAGAUCAGGAAUUAUGAAUCGAAGCGAAAGCCACCCUCAUAUGCCUAAUUAAAAGUNCCACCCUCAUAAGCCUAAUUAAAAGAAGCCUUUCAACACUUCUUAAUAAGUGUCUGAUCGUUAUUCAACGGGAAACCACACAAACACUUUAAGGUCUCUCUUGACUUUGAAGAAAGAGAUUCGUGCCCGGGAUCCAUUGUUUCGUGUCUUUAUGGACAUCACACAAUCCCUCAAAUGUGUUGCUUUAUUUAUUUUUCUUUUACACACUUAGCACGAAAAUCUUUUUGAUUUCCAAAAUUCUGGUUUCAUUAAUUUCAAGACAUUUUAAUUGGAUUGGUUGUUAUAAAAAGGUUGUGGUUGAUAUUGAUCUACGUGGUCGAUUUUAUUUUAAAGAUGUCGUUAAACUCUAAAGGGAUAAGAUGACAAAAUGAUGACUCGGGCGAGAGUCCAAUCGAUUUGAUUUCAAAUGACGCAAGAAGGCAAAGCGUGCGAAUUGGAACUGUUUCAUCUCCAAACGGCGCCUGAUGGGAAGGCGUGUAAUUAGGGACUGACACUCUCUCUCCUGCGUAGUCAUCGGCAACACCAACUGUCACGCGUCAAUCGCCUCCGAAAACCUCUUCGUUUUUCAAUUGAAGAUUUGGGAAAGAUUCUUCUCUUUCCUUUACCCACAGUAUAAAAGGCAAUGUAAACCACCGUUUACCUCUUUACUGCACCUAUAUUUCCAGAGAGCAAGAAAAUCGAUCCAACCUCUACUGUUCAUCAUCUCUCCCAUCUUCAUCACAACAAUGGCGGAUUCUUCAUCAGUUCACGCAACUUCUCACAUCUUGCCUAUUCGUCCCCAGCAGAGUUUGAUCAUUGAUCUUACUCCUCAGGCAUACGACGCUUUCAUGUUUCCCAUCAUCGAAUGCCUGAAAUACUCGCCAAUCGCUCCUGCUCUUACCAGGGCUGAAGCUGUUCCCAUGGAGUUCCUGUCACAGAUUUUUGCCACAGCUCACUACGACAAGGUCACCGACAGGAUUUUCUUCGAUGUCUUCGAGCACAAGGCGUCGAUUUCCAAGCAGAGGUUUUGUACGCUGUUAGGGUUUGAACCUGAUUCGUCGAGGGUUAAUCCUGAAACCAUUCCGAUGGGUCAUCUGUUCAACAUGUUCUACAACAUGGGGUACACUGAGGUGCUCACAACGGUCACGAAAUUCAAGAAAUCGUGCCUGCCCCCUCAGUGGAAUGGGAUGUUUACUGUGCUUUUCAAGGGCUUGUCUGAAAGAAGUGCUGGAUCAGAUGGGGCAAGUCGUCUGUUCCUAUCAAUCAUGUACGGGAUCUACAAUGGUAUCAACAUGGACUACGGGUCGGUCCUAUGGCAACAACUCAUUCAGAGUCUUUCUUCCACUUCUCGACAUUCAGAGAUUUCAUAUGCCCGGUUCUGGACACUUGUCACUAAAUGGGUGAUGGACAAGUACCACGUCCCCAUUGUCGCUGGUGCUCCAAUGUCUUCGAUUGGUACUUUCCAUACCACGAAGAUCAUUGUCUCUGACGCAUCAAAAUUUCCCUUCAACGGUUCUAUCCCUGAAACAAUGUAUGGUGAUGUUCCUGCCGACAGCCGGAUCAUUAAAACGUACAAGGAGUUCCGACGUUCUGGUCCGAGAGACCUUACUCCAGAGAUGCUCAAGUCGAUUCAUGAUGCUGACAAGCCUGCCCCCAGAGGAAAGAAGGCUGAUAAGGGCAAGCAGGUUGCAAAGGGAGCAAAAGGCCCAUCUCCCAAGAAGAGGAAAACCACCAAAGCCGCCCAAUCCCCUCCAAUAAAGAAGCGAAAAACCCAACCAAGGCGAAAGCUAAUCAUCGCUUCGUCCUCAAGCGAAUCUGAGGAAGAGGGUUCUGAUUCUGAUGGAUCUCAACGUGGUAACACUCCACCACGUUCGCCUACACCAGAGAUUCAUAUUUCCACUUCUCCUAUUUCCUCUCCACCAGUUACAAUUCCUUUUUCCAUUCCCCCCAUAACCUCCACCACUCAAAUACCAUCCACCUCCAUCCCAGUACCACCACCUAUAUUUACCGAAGCAACAACCACCACCACUGCAGACGUAAGAACCAACGUAUCUGAUACGGGGGUUCAUACUGACGCACCCAAAUCCACCUCAGCACCCGAACCCACACCAACAACCGAACACACCACCCAACCCGAACCUACUACUACUACUACCGAGCCUCCAGCUUCACCACCACCAUCUUCUCCUGCUCAUGCAUCAGAGGGUGAAGAACCACUCCUUGGCGGGGAGGACAUGACCUUUGAUUCGGUCUAUUACAGUCCGUUUCAAGUUCAAAGUGACGAUGAUGACGAUGCUCCUGUCACUAAGAGGCAUCUCAAGGAGCUACAUGACAAAAUCGAUUCUCUCAUCGCCUCAUCUUCCACAUCACAGUCCUCAAUCUCUGAAGCUGCCAUUCAGAAAAUUGUUGAUGCUUUUUCCAAAGCUCAUCAAGUUUCUCUUGAUUCCGCCACUGCAGCCAUUGACGCCUCAACCAAAGCUUGUGAGGCAGCGACCGAAAAAGUCGAUAAACUAUUCACUGAUGCUUCUUCCUUGUUGAAAUCUUUACAGGAAAACGCUGAAGCCACCACGACAAAGCUGGAACCCAUUGUCAACCAGCUGGCUAACUCAGUCGCAUCAGAGCUGAAGUCGUUCGCUUCACUUCGUCAAACAAUUUCUGACGACAACUCAGCUUUCAGAACAACCAUUGAGGAGCGUCUCUCCAAGCUUCAAGAAGACUUAGCUGCUGAGAACUCUCUCAUGGAUGCUCUCGCAAGGAAGACUACCGCUCUGAAGGUCAAGAGUACUCAACUCUCCAACUCUCAACAGGAGAUUGAGUCUCUUCGAUCUGAAAGAGAGGUGGUUAAAUCGUGUGUUUCGGAUGUCCACUCAGCUAUCUCAAACAUCCUUGAAGCACAUGACCCGAUCCUCAAUUAUUCUGUGAGGCGUGACCUUGCAGAGAAGCUUGCUCCCGCCCUCUCUCUACUGAGCAAAAUUGAAGGGCUCCUUGAUUUCGUGUCCAUUCCGAAACAAGGGGGAGAAAAAGUGAAUAUGUCUCAACCGCCUCCUACUUCAACAGCAACACACACAACCGAACCUCCUCCAGUAGGCCAAGCCUCCGGUUCCGGUGUAAAAGACAAGGGCAAGAAGAUUGCUGAGGAGAGCGAUGAAGACGAUAAGGAGACAAUUGCCGACCUUCUGAAGCGACAAGGUCGAGAUAAAGAGGCUGACAUCAGUGCUCGUGUGGCUAGAGAGGCUGAAGAAGCCGAAAGAAGACAGAAAGAAGCCCACGACCUUCUCGAGAGCAGGAAAACUCUUUUUCCUCCUUGGACUCUUGAGAAGCUGAUUAAAGAAGCCAUCGAAACACCAAGUAUCUUGUGGCUAGAACCUGUGAUCUCUUUAGAUUGUUCUAACACUGUCGACUCUCAGUUCGAUAUGCCACUGACCCGAAAGGCGUUUGUUUUUCAUGCCUUUGACAACAUUGCUGAGUUCCCCCAUCCUCAUCCACAGGUUGAUCGGGACUUAGUCGAAUUUUAUCUGAGGGCAGCUCAACCACAAUACCAAACUUGGAGCGCUCAGAAAAUCGUCAAUGUUCGGGUCCUAAAGCCGUUCAGGGAAGGCAACUUCACCAACGUUCGGUUCAAGGUACUACGGGGAUCUGCCAAGACCGAACAUGCCAUCUCACUUGCAGAUCUUCCCAACCUUAAUCCCCAUGACUGGAUUAUGUUACACAACAUCCUCCUUACAAAUGAAGCAGAAUAUGGUCCGAUCAUCGACCACUUUAAGAGGAUGCUUGUAUGCUAUGUCAUGGAAGUUGCUCUAAUGGAUCAGGAGAUAGCGAGCAUAUUCAAGAAGAAGCCCACCAUAUCUCCUGUUAGCUCUGCCAGUGAUCUCAACAUGAUGCAGAUGGGGAAGAUUGACCCAAAGAGAAACUUCGUCAUGUUUACCAGGAACGAAGGACAGAAAUGUCUUUUUGCCUUGGCAGACAAACAUCUCUACACCACUGCCUGUUUGGAACUGUUUGGAACACGUUUUAGGGAUCAUCCAUCGAUGCAAGCAGAACACAGCGGAUGAUAUCAAGUACUUUGAUGAUAUGAUUCAAUGGUACAUUCGCUUCAGAUAGACUAUCCUUGCACUUAUCUCACGUCUGUUUGAUACAACAAAGAAGGUUCCUACUACUGGCCCAAGCAAGAAGAAACGAUAGUCUCGCUCCAAAUCGAUCAUGUUUGUGAAAAAGAAGGAUGCUUCACACAUGAUGUGCAUUGAUUACUGGGAGUUGAACAAAUUAACAAUGAAGAACCAUUAUUGUAACAUCCCAAAAAUCAUAGGAAAUUAAUUUUUUUAAAAUCAAAUCGUUAACCAUAAAGUGUUUAAAAAAGACCAUGUUUUCAAACGUAUAAUCAAAAUCAGAGUAUCCUAAGAUCUAAUGUCAUAAAAACAGGAAGAUAUGCACGAUCACACAUUCGCUUUCCCAUGAUCCUUUAAAGUAGCUGAAACAAUAAACUGCAAAUCGUAAGCCAAAGCCUAGUGAGUUCCCCCAAAGUACCAUCACACAACAUAACAAGCAUCAACAUGCGAAUAUGAGUCUUCAACCAGACUGGACAACUUCAUAGGGCCUACAUCCUAUCUAGACCGCUCUUCUGGCCUACAGCCUAAUUGGACCGCCUCGUAGGGCCUACAACCUAUCUGGACCACCCUGGGUAUCUUGGCCUUUAGCACAAAGCAAUACCACCUCAACCCAACCACAAUAUGUUGACAUAUACAACAGAUAAACAUAAACACAUAUCUAGCAAAUACAGGUAAUCAUACAGAUCUACUAAUCUAUCAUAUAACCAACAUAACAUCAUCAUAUAUACACGAAUACAUAACCUUGCGAGCCAACAUUCUUGCCUUCUACCCAUAAUUAUAGUGAGGAAAACUCACCUCUCAGUCUGAACAAAUCGGUGAAAUGGUCUCUACUCCGAAUAUCAACUCUACCCAUCACCUAUUCAUCAAAUAGGGAACAAUCUCAAAUACAACUUAAAAUACCCAAACUACCCUUGGAUCAAACUUGGUUAAUGUCAACGACGAAAGUAAAAUUCAACUAUAGCAGGUCACCAUACCGUGGCCAUUAUUGACCACGCUCCGGACACUAAAUGACAAAAUAGUCGACUCUUAGCCCAGCCACCAUGCCGUGGAGACCUAGGCCACGCUGUGGGCACUAGGCUCCUAACAACUUAAUAGAUUAAGUCGAUUUCCUUGAUCUUAAGGACUCUAAAGCCCAGAUCUGGUACAUUCUCAUAUCCAAGUGCAUAAAGUUUCCAUCUUUAUCCCUUUCGACUCUCUAAGGGAUAGAGAUACCAUUUCUAGAUUUAAAUAGGGCAAAAACAUAACUUGGCUUAGCCCAUUAAGCCCUUUCUUUUGAAGACUACUAGAUCCUCAUUUCCAGAAUGUUUCAAGCAUCAAAUAGCAACAUAAAAAUCCUUAAUUUCUAGACAUGCAUGUCCAAUGCAUAUCUUGAAGUUACUCAAUUGCACGACUAUCUUUCUCCCUCCAUUGCACGACAGACUGUACGGGAACCCAUAAUUGCCAACAAACAAUAACUUGAAGUUACUCAAUUGUACGACUAUCUUUCUCCCUCCAUUGGAUGACCCAGCUUCCAUUGAGAACCCAACAAUAGGCAAUUCUCAAACUACACUCAUAACAAACUCCAUCAAUAUAAUUCCUGGAACCUGGAACGCAUCAGUCCUAAACGUCAGGAACCGCACUCAAAGAUUGAUGAUCAUCCGAUUAUCGUACCUACCCCUAGCUUUUGUCUAGGAGCACCAUCAAAACUGUCGGAUUAGGUGUCUAAGCCCACAACUAUAAUAGGUAUAUACUUAACCAGAUAGUAGCAUAGUCCUUUUGGGUUGCCUUCACCAGAACAAUCUGAUACGAUGGAUAUUUGAGAAAGAGGUUAUUUGUGAUUUAUUAAUAUAUUAUAAGUAUAAUAUAUUAAUGGAGAAAUAAUAUUAUUUAAUUAGUAUUGAUUAAGAAUUAAUUUGGAAUUAAUCUAGUGAUCAAAAGAGACUGUAAAUUAACGGGGACNGGUUAUAUGUUGAACCUACCCAUAUAUAUAUAUAUAUAUAUAUAUAUAUAUGUGUGUGUGUGUGUGUGUGUGUGUGUAACCCCUUGGCCAAAAUCGGACACACAAGUAUUCUAGCAAGACUAUAGGGAUGUUAUAGUGCUCAAAACCCAUCAAUGGUAUCAGAGCCAAGUUAGUUUAUGUUAUAUUGAUGCAUUGUUGUUUUUCAAAGUUGAAAAAGUCACAUUUCUGGCCUCUGGCUGAUGAACUCUUUAACACCGUAAAUUUUCAAAAUAAUUUUUCGUUUUCAAAAUCACAUAAUGUAUCACAUCACAAUUUGAAAUCCAUAAUCAAUAUUGUUUUCAAAACAAAUCCCAAGAUCUCUACACAUAAUAAACUCCAUCGGUGUGUGUACGUGUCAAGCCGUCGCCUUCCCACGGUCCUCGCUGGUACCUGAGACAUCAAACACAACAACUGUAAGCAUAAAUGCUUAGUGAGUUCCCAAAAUACCACAUACGACAAAUACGCCACUCAAGGCUAAAUCCAAACCUCUGGUCUAGAUGUCUCAGCGGGACCCUCCAGUCCCGCAGCUCGUCGGACCCUCCGGUCCAGUGACAACUCAUUGGGCCCUCUAGCCCGGUCAGAAUCGUUGGGCCCUCCGACUCGGUCUAUAUAACCAUACAGCAUACAAAUAACACAUAGCGCGAAAUCUCUAAGACAACACAUAAUCUCAUACAUAGCACAUAAGACCCUCUAGUCAUCUCGAAAUACCACUCAAGGUAAUGUAUAGUGAGAAGACUCACCUCGCGUAUCUCGGUAACUCGUAAAUUUCGUAACCACUAGUGCUCGAUCUCCUGAGCUAUCAUCCUCCUACAACACAAGCAUAUUUCUACACCCAACUCGGUUACUCAAUCCCUAGUUUGUAAUCAUUGAACAACCCGCACCAACUCGCCGAGUCUGGGAAUGGACCCGGCGAGUGCAUUCCAUGCACAACCCCAAACGACCUUCUGAGGUCAGAUCCGGUUCACUAACUCAUAGAUCCAGUCUCCUUAAGCUUAUUGACCACGUAAAGUCGAAGUCUUGGUGCUCAUUAAGCGUCGAAUAGCUCAUGAAUGGUGUUUUAGCCUCAAAUACCUUGAUCCCAAGCCAAAACCUCCAUGGAUGCAUAUAAAGCUUUGGUAAAGAGGUGCUCUGGACCUCUAUGGGUCCAGAUCUAGGACCUUAACUCGCUAAGGGACCAUGAGGACACUAGAUCUAGCCACAAAUGGGUUCAAAAGCCCUAAAUCUACAUGAACAUCACAAUAACAAAGAAUGAUUCAGAAUUGUACCUCAGUUGUGAUGUCCUGGACCUCAGUUCUUCAGGAAUCCACCCCUCUCUUGCUUCCUAUUGGCUAGAUCUCCUCUUUUCUUGCUAGGCAAUAACUCCAAGAUCAAUAAUGGCUCCUUCCCUCACUUGAAUCGCUCACAUGCUCUAGGGUUUCACUCUGGGGACUGAUGAGUGCAAAUGAUAGCCAUAAGGCCCUUUAAAUAUGCCUCAAACCCGAGAAUUUAGGGUUUCAUUAAACAGCGCAGACUCGCCGAGUCUACCAAGGCGACUCGUCGAGUCCGGGUAUCAAACUGGGUGAGAAAUCGUGUCUCAACUCGGCGAGUCUACGCACCAAUUCGCCGAGUUCUUCCACAAAACUCAAAAUAAAAAGAAUAAUUAAUAUACCUGAAAUCCCGGAUGUUACAAUUCUCCCCCACUUGAAUCCGACUUCGCCCUCGAAGUCUCAUUCCUGAAAUAGCUCUGGAUGUUGUUCCCGCAUCUCCCGCUCUGGCUCCCAGGUCAGCUUGGAUCCCUUCCGAUGUUGCCACUGAACCUAUACCAUAGGCACCUCCUUGUUCCUCAGAACCUUGAUCUUUUGAUCCACCAUCGCAACUGGUCUCUCUGCGUAGUUUAAGCUCGCAUCCACCUAAAUGUCCUCUAACGACACUACCGCCGACUCGUCGGCUAUACACUUCCUCAACUGAGACACAUGGAAGGUAUUAUGAAUCCGCUCCAAUUCUGCGGGUAGCUCCAAGCGAUAUGCUACCCUGCCCACCCUCGCGAUCACUCGAAACGACCCUAUAUACCGGGGCCCUAGCUUGCCCCUCUUCCUGAAUCGGAUCACUCCUUUCCAAGGAGAUACCUUCAGGAGAACAUAAUCACCGACCUGGAACUCAAGCUCGGAUCGACGUCUAUCCGCAUAACUCUUCUGGUGGCUCUGAGCGGUAAACAAUCUCUGCCUGACCCGCUGUAUCUGCUCUGUUGUCUGAAGCACAAUCUCUGUGCUACCUAUCACUCGUUGCCUUACCUCUCCCCAACAAAUGGGAGUCCGACACCUCCUCCCAUACAACAACUCAAAAGGCGGCAUACCAAUGCUCGAAUGAUGGCUGUUAUUGUAGGAGAACUCUGCUAAGGGCAAAUACGUGUCCCAACUCCCACCAAAGUCCAACAUGCAUGCUCGGAGCAUGUCCUCGAGCAUCUGAAUCGUCCGCUCGCUCUGACCGUCAGUCUGUGGGUGGUAUGCGGUACUAAAAUGCAGCCUCGUACCCAACUCCUCAUGGAAUUUCUUCCAAAAUCUGGAAGUGAAACGCACAUCUCGGUCUGACACGAUCGAGAUGGGUACUCCAUGCCGCGAUACCACCUCCCUCACGUAUGGCUCUGCCAACCUCUCCGCAGGAGAACUCUCACUAAUAGCGAGAAAGUGGGUGCUCUUAGUCAAUCGGUCCACUAUCACCCAAAUCGCAUCGACACCCCUUGCCGUUCUCGGCAAUUUGGUAAUGAAAUCCAUGGAUAUCUGCUCCCACUUCCACUCCGGAAUCUCAAGUCGUUGCAACUUACCAUGCGGUUUCUGGUGCUCGGCCUUAACCCUACGACAGGUUAGGCAUCUCUCAAUGAACCACACCACAUCCCUCUUCAUGCAGGGCCAUCAAUACUCCCUCUUCAGAUCUAGAUACAUCUUAGUGGCCCCAGGAUGGAUCGAAAACUUCGAUCUGUAUGCCUCUUCCAUCAAGAUAGUACGCGUCCCGCCCAUAAACGGUACCCAAAUCCGACCCUGGAAGGUCAUAAGCCCGCGACUAUCGGUAACAAACCCUGACACCUGCUCGAUAACUCGUUCUCUCUUACGGUUCUCCGGUCUCACUGCCUCGGCCUGGGCCCCUCUGAUGGUAUCCAAUACCGGAGUCAUCACCGUUAACCUCAUACAGAUAUCUCGCAUCGGGGCACCCUCUGCCCUACAACUCAGGGCGUCGGCUACCAUAUUAGCCUUGCCCGGGUGGUACAGGAUCUCGCAAUCAUAAUCCUUUACCACAUCCAGCCAUCUCCUCUGCCGCAUGUUCAGGUUGGGCUGAUCCAUCAAGUACUUCAAGCUCUUAUGGUCCGUGUAUAUCGUACACCGAACCCCAUACAGAUAGUGACGCCAGAUCUUGAGGGCGAACACCACAGCCCCCAACUCCAGAUCGUGGGUGGGAUAUCUCGUCUCAUGAGGCUUUAACUGCCUCGAUGCAUACGCGAUCACAUGCCCUCUCUGCAUCAACACCGCUUCCAACCCCGAUAUCGAUGCAUCACAGUACAUCACGAAAUCCUCCAUCCCUUCCGGUAGUGCGAGCACAGGAGCUUCGCACAAUCUCUAGCGAAGGGUCUCAAACGAGGUCUGCUGCUCUGGACCCCAUGAGAAAGUAACACCCUUUCGGGUCAACUUGGUAAGUGGCACGGCGAUCUUGGAGAAAUCUCUGAUAAAUCUCCGAUAGUAGCCUGCCAGCCCUAAGAAGCUCCUGAUCUCCGUAGGUGACCUCGGCACCUCCCAACUCAUCACAACCUCGAUCUUGGCCGGGUCAACCAAAAUCCCAUUCUGGUUAACGAGAUGCCCUAAGAACUGGACCUCCCGUAACCAAAAAUCGCACUUGGAGAAUUUGGCGAAAAGCCUCUCCGCUCUCAGAACUCCGAGGAGCUCCCUCAAAUGUUCCUCAUGCUGCUCUCUGGUCCUCGAAUACACCAGAAUGUCAUCAAUGAAUACAAUUACCGAACGAUCCAACAUCGGCCUACACGCCCUGUUCAUGAGAUCCAUGAAUGCCGCUGGUGCAUUGGUGAGCCCGAAUGGCAUCACCACGAACUCGUAAUGCCCGUAACGAGUCCUAAACGCCGUCUUCGGGAUAUCCUCAUCUCGAACUCUCAUCUGAUGAUACCCCGACCUCAGGUCUAUCUUGGAGAACCAAGACGCCCCCUGCAACUGAUCGAAUAGAUCGUCGAUCCUCGGUAAUGGAUAACGGUUCUUGACCGUCAACUUGUUCAACUCCCGGUAAUCAAUGCACAUCCGGUGUGAACCAUCCUUUUUCUUGACAAAAAGGAUCGGCGCUCCCCAGGGAGAGCUACUGGGACGGAUGAACCCUUUCCCCAACAGCUCUUGCAGCUGUGAGGAUAACUCCUGCAUCUCUGGCGGCGCUAGGCGAUAUGGCGCCUUAGCGAUAGGCGCAGCCCCGGGAAUCAAAUUGAUACGAAACUCCACUUGCCUCUCGGGAGGUACACCCGGCAACUCCUCGGGGAACACGUCCCAGAACUCACGCACUAUAGGCACAUCAUCCACUGAACUUGGCCUCCCAACGGCCUCUCGUACAUCCGUCACAUAGGCCACGAAUCCCUUGCAGCCCUGCUGCAAACUCCGACUCGCUCUGGCAGCCGAACAGAAUACCGAACCACCACGAGUCCCCUCGCCAUAAACUGUCAGCACUCCCCCACUAGGAUCUCGGAUCGUCACCAAUUGACGCUCGCAAUCUAUGACAGCCCCGAAACGGCUCAACCAAUCCAUGCCUACUAUAACACAAACAUCCCUCAUGGCAAUCGGUACCAAAUCAAUCGGGAACUCCACCCCGAAGAUCUCCAGUACGCAUCCACGUAUCACCUCGGUAGCACACACCUCACGCUCAUCGGCUAUGGAAACCUGCAGAGGUCGACUCAACGCCUCCCUCGGAAUACUAAUGUGCCGACUAAAAGUCACAGAUAUGAACGACCGACUCGCACCCGAGUCGAACAACACUAAUGCAGGUACAGAACUCACAAGAAAAGUACCUACGCAUAACAUAUAGCAAUUACAAUAGCAUAAACUCAACAUAAAAUAGAUAAAGAAUACAUACCCGCCACGACGUCAGGCGCUGCGCGGACCUGCUCUGCAGUCAACUAGAAGUCUCUUCCCCUAGCCUUCGGUGCUUCGGCCUUCAGUGGCCGGGUCUCAGUAGCUCGAAUCACAGGUGCAGAUCCCUGCGCUGACCUCUGAAGCUGGGGGCACUCGGCCUUCCGAUGGCCGGUCUGGUUGCAAUGAAAGCAAACCGAGAACCCCUUAGGACAAUCCCUCGCGAAAUGUCCUUCCUUCCCACACUUGUAGCAUACCCCAGUCUUGCAUGACCCAUCAUGACUCUUGCCGCACUUCCCACAAGUACGGCCCCUCGAACUGCUCGUCCUCGAAUCAGCGGGCUUUGCCCGCUUGGCGGCCGGCUGCGACUGCGCCGGUCGCCGAUCACCCCUCUGAGACUCGGUCUCCUCCCUCGCCUGUGUCUCAAGCUCAAUCUCCCUCUUCCGAGCAUUUGCCUGGAGCUCGGCAAAUGUCUGGUAAGUCGAGUUCGCCACGAACUCACGGAUGUCCCUCCUCAGUAUACUCAGAUAACGGCUCAUGCGAGCCUGCUCAGUGGACACCAGUUCCGGGCAAAACAACGCCCGCUCAUGAAACAUCCUCGUAAUCACUGUCACCGACUCAGUCCCCUGCUUGAGGGUCAGAAACUCCUGGGCUAAACGUUCCCUCUCCACCUGGGGAACAUACUCGUCACGAAACAUCGCAGUAAACCUCUCCCAGGUCACUGCAGUCAGCUCAGCUGUAGAAUAGCUUGCGGUCACGAAUUUCCACCAGUCCUUCGCCCCCAAGCGAAGCUGGUUGAGUGCGAAUCGCACCCUCAAGUGCUCCGGACACGAGCACGUAUAGAAACACCCCUCUAUGUCUGAGAUCCACCUCAUAGCGGCGAUCGGAUCCUGUGUACCAUCGAACUCUGGUGGUUUCGUGUUGCUGAACUCUCGGUACAGCAACGAAUCACCACCCUGGGGUCUCGCAGCAGCAACAGCUGCGGUGGCUGCAGCAACAGCAACAUCAGUCAAAGCAGCGUAACGCUCGUCAAACGUCUCGAUCAGUGUGGUCUUAAUAGACCCAAACAUCUCUGGAAUCUCGGCUCUGAUGGCAGCAGCCACCUGCUCAUGGAUGAUCCGACGGAUCUCCUCAUCACUCACCCCACUGCUCCCGGUGGUAUGGCGUGUCCCGACCAUGAUCAACCUCUAAAAUACAACAUAAGGAAUAUUAGGGAAACUCUCGAGUAUACUCACACUCGAUAACUCAAUCAUCCUCAACUUCUGGUACCCCAAGGAUUCUUACUUGGACUGCGCACCAAUCUAGUGUCUUCAAUAGUACGGGCCCAAUACUAUCGUCCACACCGAAUCGAUAUACAACCCAAGUCCUCCUCCUAGGAUCCCAAAUCGCAAAUACUCUACUCUCGCUAUGCACUACCUACCCUCAAUAGCCUUCUUAUGAGCUCCUCACUGCUACCUACUCAUUCUCAAAGAAUCUCAUAGCAGCAGCAAUCUCCUAAUCUAAGGCAUCACAAAUCAGGCCCACUCUAGUCCUAAUAGGAAUACCUAGCCUCUCUAACAUGCACAACAUAAUAUCUCAUAACUCAUAACAUAUAAUGUAAGGGUAUUUUGGGGAUUCACCGUUCGGGCGCUGGCUGACCGUACACACCUUCCACUCUGCUUGUUUCCAAAACCUCUUUUUCUUUUUAGAAAAUUUUAGUUUUAUUUGAAAAUUUCUCAAAUCCUCGGUUUGAGUUCAAAUAUGCCCGAAGGUGCAUCCGUAUCCCUCAAACCAAGGCUCUGAUACCAACUUGUAACACCGUAAAUUUUCAAAAUAAUUUUUUGUUUUCAAAAUCACAUAAUGUAUCACAUCACAAUUUCAAAUCCAUAAUCAAUAUUGUUUUCAAAACAAAUCCCAAGAUCUCUACACAUAAUAAACUCCAUCGGUGUGUGUACGUGUCAAGCCGUCGCCUUCCCACGGUCCUCGCUGGUACCUGAGACAUCAAACACAACAACUGUAAGCAUAAAUGCUUAGUGAGUUCCCAAAAUACCACAUACCACAAAUACGCCACUCAAGGCUAAAUCCGACCCUCUGGUCUAGAUGUCUCAGCGGGACCCUCCAGUCCCGCAGCUCGUCGGACCCUCCGGUCCAGUCACAGCUCAUUGGGCCCUCUAGCCCGGUCAGAAUCGUUGGGCCCUCCGACCCGGUCUAUAUAACCAUACAGCAUACAAAUAACACAUAGCGCAAAAUCUCUAAGACAACACAUAAUCUCAUACAUAGCACAUAAGACCCUCUGGUCAACUCGAAAUACCACUUAAGGUAAUGUAUAGUGAGAAGACUCACCUUGUGUAUCUCGGUAACUCGUAAAUUUCGUAACCACUAGUGCUCGAUCUCCCGAGCUAUCGUCCUCCUACAACACAAGCAUAUUUCUACUUAAUACUACCUUGACUCUGGCUGACUAAUACCACGAAGUCAAACCAGUCAACACUGGUCAACGGUCAACGGUUGACCCGACUCGCCGAGUCUGGUGUGGACUCGCCGAGUCCCUACAGGAACCCGAUCCCUCUGAAUCUCUUCCGACUCACCGAGUCACUCACCCGACUCGGUUACUCAACCCCUGGUUUGUAAUCAUUGAACAACCUGCACCAACUCGUCGAGUCUGGGAAUGGACUCGGCGAGUGCAUUCCAUGCACAACCCCAAACGACCUUCUGAGGUCAGAUCCGCUUCACUAACUCAUAGAUCCAGUCUCCUUAAGCUUAUUAACCACGUCAAGUCCAAGUCUUGGUGCUCAUUAAGCAUCGAAUAGCUCAUGAAUGGUGUUUUAAAGCUUUGGUAAAGAGGUGCUCUGGACCUCUAUGGGUCCAGAUCCAGGACCUUAACUCGCUAAGGGACCAUGAGGACACUAGAUCUAGCCACAAAUGGGUUCAAAAUCCCUAAAUCUACAUGAACAUCACAAUAACAAAGAAUGAUUCGGAAUUGUACCUCAGUUGUGACGUCCUGGACCUCAGUUCUUCAGGAAUCCACCCUUCUCUUGCUUCCUCUUGGCUAGAUCUCCUCUUUCCUUGCUAGGCAAUAACUCCAAGAUCAAUAAUGGCUCCUUCCCUCACUUGAAUCGCUCAAAUGCUCUAGGGUUUCACUCUGGGGACUGAUGAACGCAAAUGACGGCCAUAAGGCCCUUUAAAUAUGCCUCAAACACGAGAAAUUAGGGUUUCAUUAAACAACGCAGACUCGUCGAGUCUACCAAGGCGACUCGCCGAGUCCGGGCAUCAAACCGGGUGAGAAAUCGCGUCUCAACUCGGCUAGUCUAUGCACUAACUCGCCGAGUUCUUCCACAAAACUUAAAAUAAAAAGAAUAAUUAAUAUACCUGAAAUCCCGGAUGUUACAAACUCGACGAGUCCAAUGAUCCGAAUCAAUGAGUUCAUUCACAAACUGACAAGUCGACGAGUCCAGUUCAUGCAGUCGACAUGUAGAACCUUCUGCUUGCAGAUUUUCAAGUCUUUUGGCCAGAACUGGAUUAGGAUCACUACCACAAACUGUUUUGUAUCAUAAAAUUCGUUUUUUUAAUAUGUUAGUGAUUAUCCUCAUCCAAUUAAAGGAAAAAUAUCAACUUUUAAGAUAAUAAGUUAAUUAUUUGUAUUAUUUGAUUUUAAUUGCCUUACUAUGUGAGUUAGAUUAGAUCACCUUGGUAAGUAAUAAAUUAUAUGAUAAUUGAAUAAGUUAGAAUUGAUCUAAAUGGUUCUUGAAGAGAGUUUCAUAAGUUGUCCUCAAUUAAUGAAAUAUGAAAAGUCUCAUUCAUGAACAUUAAACUCAUAAGUUAUGGAAACCAAAAGUUUUGAAGAGUUUCAAAACUUUCCCUCAAGUUUUGGAAUUUGUAAAGUCUCACUAACGAAACAUUUAAUUCCAAACCUUAGAAUUUUAAAAGUUUAAAAGUCAUCCCUUAUACUAUUAUAAUAUUAAAGGUUAAUACCUAUAUAUAUGUAUAAGACAAGUAGUCUUACCGUUAGUAGGCCUCAUUCACGAAGCCGAACUAUAUGGGGCGUAUAAGGAAAGUGCCUAUAAAAUGGCGAUUGAAUGGGUGUCUACUCUCACCCACCGCUUCCUUGACUAGUAAAGGGUCAUUAGCCGAACAGGUAGGAUAGCACAUUAAUUCUCAUUAAAAGUAUAAUGAUAAUUAUAAAGUAACUAAAUGAUUUUAUAAAAUCCCCAAUCUUACUUACUUUAGGAAAAAUGUGAAAAUGAUGCUAUUCAAUGAAAUUUCACAUUGCACCUUGCGGAGUCGUUAGUGUAGCAUGUGUGGUUAACCGGCACAAUAACUUAGACUAACAAGGGUGGAAAAGGGUAGCUUGAUGUUUGUGAUAGAUCAAUGGAACGUGUGUGGUUAACCGACACAUUGAUUAGGUGAUAAAUUACAUCGAGAUUACCAAUUAUAUUUGCAUGGUUAUUCACACCGUGUUUGUGAUCCUUGGUAUCCCAGUCACAAACUUGAAAGGAAUAAUCGAGAUUUAAACAUGCCAUUAAAAAGUUCAAUGAAUCUCAAAAGAAUCUAAGAAUUUCAAUUCAUUUAAAAGUUAAUAAUCAAUUUCGGUUUUCAUGGUGGAAAUUGGUAAAUCGUCAUUUACCUACUUUCAAAUAUUCUGCAACUGGAUUACAGCAUCCUUCUUCCGAGUUGUAAAAUAUUGUGUUGGGUUGUAGCCUUAAUAUUUCAUUUGGGUGUUUUAUUAAGGAUUCUUAUCUAAUCUAAACUUUGUCUUUCUUUUUCGGAUGUCUUCCAACACCGCUUCUGGCUUAAACCCUUCUGGCUUUUUCUCCCUCAUGAACUUGUGUGGGAGGGUCAUCUUUGAUGGUUCAAAUUUCAAUGCAAAGUAACCUAAUAGAGUGUGUAAGCUUGACAAAUCCAUUUAUGGAUUGAAACAAGCAUCUCCCAGAUGGAAUCUUUGUUUCGAUGAGAAAGUCAAAGAAUUUGGAUUUUCGAGAAGCAAGGAUGAGUCCUGUGUAUAUGCCAAAGCUAGUGGGAGUAUAGUUAGGUUUCUCGUGUUGUAUGCGGAUGACAUGCUUCUCAUAGGAAAUAACAUUCGAACCUUGUUGGAGGUUAAGUCCUGGCUUGGGAAGUGUUUUGCUAUGAAGAACCUAGGGGAAGCUGUUUAUAUUCUAGGGAUAAGGAUAUUGAAAACAGGAGUAAAAGACUAAUAGGAAAUAGUCAAAGUACCUACUUGGACAAGGUGUUGAAGCAUUUCAACAUGGAUAAUUCCGAGAAAGGUGACUUACCUAUCCAAAGCAAUACCAAACUGAGUAAGACUCAAAGUCCAAGUAUAGAGGCUGAGAUAGCGGAGAUGAGUUGAGUAUUAUAUGCUUCCGUAGUUGGCUCGAUCAUGUAUGUUAUGACUUGUACUCACCCUGAUGUGGCCUUUGCUUUGAGCAUGGUCAUCAGAUAUCAAUAGAAUCCUGGUAAAGCUCAUUGUAGUGCGAUAAUGAACAUUCUUAAGUAGCCGCAUAGGACUAAGUACUGGGUCCUAACCCUCGGUGGGAGUGAUGACUUAAGAGUGACAGGGUAUACUGACGCCAACUUUCAUAUCGAAAGAGACAAUUUCCGCUCUUAGUCGGGCAGGGCAUUUACCCUGAAUGGAGGAGAAAUAACUUGGAAAAGUUCCAAACAGAAGACUGUAGCUGAUUCAAUGUACGAAUCAGAGUACAUAGCAGCAAGCGUAGCGUCGAAGGAGGCGAUAUGGCUGAAGAACUUUAAUGGAGACCUUGGAGUUGUACUAGCUGUAAAGGAGCCUAUAGAGAUUUUCUAUGACAACGAGGGUGCGGUCACCUUAACCAAGGAACCAAGGGAUCAUGAUAGAUUGAGGCACAUUGACAUAAAAUAUCACUUCAAAAGACAUCGGGUAGAAGGACUCCUCAUAGUAAAGAGGGUAUCGUCAGAGGAGAACCCAACAGAUCCCCUUACGAAGAGACUGAGUAGGUUUAAGCACUUGCAUCAUGCGAGGAGCAUUGCACUGAAGGACGAUAUUAGUUUUAAUGAUUAGAUAGCUGUUUAGAAACAUGUAAUAGAUAAAAUGUAAUUGACAUUUGAUGAUUAAAUAAAAUGAGUUUUAUUUAUGAGUAAAGUUACUAUCUUUUGUCAAUUGUAUACUAUUUUUUCAUUUUGCUUGUCUUGACUUCCAGAAUAAUAAGAUUAUUCAAACUAUCCACAGUCGAUCAUACUUUGGAAGUAGGUAUUGAGGCAAGACUUUCAUGAAUUUGGCUUGUAGCUUGUUUAAAGUGUUUAUACAUAGAAAAAGUUUGCUACAGCAUUCAUGAGUGCUCCUGAAAUAAGAUUUGAGUAUUGGAUUAAAUCCACGCUCACAUGAAUCACUUCAUGGAAUUUAUCACGGGUGAUUGUGAGACAAUAAUAUCGUAUUGUCUUCAAAACAAGAUAUAUGAGUUAUUGACUAAAAGUUGGUUGUGUAUUGAUAGUACGAAAACGCAUUAGUAACUUGAUGUUAUAAAACGUGUUGUUAUGUAUGAUUUAACGAGUAGUUAGUAGAAGCAUAUAAGUCAAAGUUUAUCUGUUCCUUUUAAUCCUUGGAGGAUUGAAAGCGAUAUCUUGGGCCCCUCGAUGACUUUGUCUUGAAUUAUUUGUCAGGGCUGGUCAGGACUAAAUUGAUGUGUUCAAUUAAGUUCUAUGUCAAACAAACCGAAAAUCGGGAAACAAACUGCUGGACAAUAAGUAUGACUAUGUUCCAUGUAUUUGUCCGCAUGAUAUUUUGAAGAACAGGGGAUUAUAUGAUCCCUUAUCUAAAGGAUGUGUUAGAGUUCGACAAUGGCUUUUGAGAGUGAUGAGUUAUAAAAACUGUUAGAUCGAUUAGAUCUUCGUAACAGGUAAGUAAAGAACGUAAAAAGCAAGGAAAUAAAACACAAGUAUGGAUCACAAUGAGUCGAAUGAUUAGAUUACUCAAUCCUCAGCAGAGCUCGACUAAGAACUUCCGCUGUAGAGGACUUCUAGGGUUACAAAAUAAGAACGAUGAAUAUGUUGAACAAUACUUCUCUAAUCGUUUCUAAUCAUUACGUUCUAGGAUGCAUGCAAGCAUCUAUUUAUAAUAAACCCUACAAAACUCACGGAUGGACAGGCCCAUACCGGAGAUAAACAUGGACUAGCUAACGAGCCCAAUAGACGCAACACAAUACUAGACCUAACAAUCUCCCCCUUUGCGUCAAUUUGGAGCGAGACUAUCGUUUCUUCUUGCUUGGACCAGCAGCGGGAACCUUCUUUGUUGUAUCAAACAGACGUGAGAUAAGUGCAAGGAUAGUCUGUCUGAAGCGAAUGUACCAUUGAAUCAUGUCAUCAAAGAACUUUAUAUCAUCCGCUGUGUUCUACUUGCACCGAUGGAUGAUCCCUAAGACGUGUUCCAAACAAGCAGUGGUAUAGAGAUGUCUGUCUGCCAAGGCGAAAAGACAUUUCUGUCCUUCGUUUCUGGUAAACAUGACGGAGUUUCUCUUUGGGUCAAUCUUCCCCAUCUGCAUCAUGUUGAGAUCACUGGCAGAGCCAACAGGAGAUAUGGUAGGCUUCUUCUUGAACACGCUCGCAAUCUCCUGAUCCAUCAAAGCAACUUCCAUGAUAUAGCAUACAAGCAUCCUCUUAAAGUGGUCGAUGAUCGGACCAUAUUCAGCUUCGUUUGUAAGAAGGAUGUUGUGCAAGAUAAUCCAGUCAUGGGGAUUAAGGUUGGGAAGAUCUGCAAGUGAGAUGGCAUGUUCGGUCUUGGCAGAUCCCCGUAGUAUCUUGAACCGAACGUUGGUGAAGUUGCCUUCCCUGUACGGCUUUAGGACCCGAACAUUGACGAUUUUCUGAGCGCUCCAAGUUUGAUAUUGUGGUUGAGCUGCCCUCAGAUAAAAUUCGACUAAGUCCCGAUCAACCUUUGGAUGAGGAUGAGGGAACUAAGCAAUGUUGUCAAAGGCAUGAAAGAUAGACCCCUUUCGGGUCAGUGGCAUAUCGAACUGAGAGUCGACAGUGUUAGAACGAUCUAAAGAGAUCACGGGUUCUAGCCACAAGAUACUGGGUGUUUCGAUGGCUUCUUUAAUCAGUUUCUCAAGAGUCCAAGGAGGAAAAAGGGUUUUCCUGCUCUCGAGAAGGUCGUGGGCUUCUUUCUGUCUCCUUUCGGCUUCUUCAGCCUCUCUAGCCACACGAGCGCUGAUGUCAGCCUCUUUAUCUCGACCCUGUCGCUUCAAAAGGUCGGCAAUUGUCUCCUUAUCAUCAUCGUCACUCUCCUCAGCAAUUUUCUUGCCUUUGUCUUUCACACCGGAACCUGAGGCUUGGCCUACUGGAGGAGGUUCAGUUGUGUGAGUUGCUGUUGAAGUAGGAGGUGGUUGAGACACUCGUUCUUUUUCUCCCCCUUGUUUCGGAAUGGACACGAAAUCAAGGAGCCCUUCAAUUUUGCUUAGUAGAGAGAGGGCGGGAGCAAGCUUCUCUGCAAGGUCUCGCCUUACAGAAUAAUUGAGGAUCGGGUCAUGUGCUUCAAGGAUAUUUGAGAUAGCUGAGUGGACAUCCGAAACACACGAUUUAACCACCUCUCUUUCAGAUCGAAGAGACUCAAUCUCCUGUUGAGAGUUGGCGAGUUGAAUACUCUUGACCUUCAGAGCGGUAGUCUUCCUUGCGAGAGCAUCCAUGAGGGUGUUCUCCGCAGCUAACUCUUCUUGAAGCUUGGCAAGGCGCUCCUCAAUGGUUGUUCUGAAAGCGGAGUUGUCGUCAGAAAUAGUUUGACGAAGUGAAGCGAACGACUUCAGCUCUAAUGCAACUGUUGUAGCCAGCUGGUUGACAAUUGGUUCCAGCGUUGUUUUGGUGGCUGCAGCAGUUUCCUGUAAAGAUUGUAACAGGGUAGAAGCAUCAGUAAAUAGUUUAUCGACUUUUUCGGUCGCUGCCUCACAAGCUUUGGUUGAGGCGUCAAUGGCUGCAGUGGCGGAAUCAAGGGAAACUUGAUGAGCUUUGGAAAAAGCAUCAACAAUUUUCUGAAUGGCAGCUUCAGAGAUGGAGGAUUGAGAUGUAGAAGAUGAGGCGAUGAGCGAAUUGAUUUUAUCAUGUAACUCCUUGAGAUGUUUCUUUGUGACAGGAGCAUCGUCAUCAUCAUCACUCUGAACUUGAAACGGACUGUAAUAGACCGAAUCGAAGGUCAUGUCCUCCCCGCCAAGGAGUGGUUCUUCACUCUCUGCUGUAUGAGCAGGAGAAGAUGGUGGUGGUGAAACUUGAGGUUCGAUAGUAAAGGUAGGUUCGGGUUGGGUGGUGUGUUCGGUUGUUGGUGUGGUUUCGGGUGCUGAGGUAGAUUUGGGUGCGUCAGUAUGAGCCCCCGUAUCAGAUACGUUGGUUCUUACUUCGACAAUGGUUGUGGUUGCUUCGGUAAAGAUGGGUGGUGGUACUGGGAUGGAGGUGGAUGGUAUUUGAGUGGUGGAGGUUAUGGGGGGAAUGGAAAUAGGAAUUGUAACUGGUGGAGAAGAAAUUGGAGAAGUGGAAAUAUGAAUCUCUGGUGUAGGUGAACGUGGUGGAGUGUUACCACGUUGAGAUCCAUCAGAAUCAGAACCCUCUUCCUUAGAUUUGCUUGAGGACGAAGCGAUGAUCAGCUUUCGCUUUGGUUGGGUUUUUCGCUUCUUCAUAGGAGGGGAUUGGGCGGCUUUGGUGGGUUUCCUCUUCUUGGGAGAUGGGCCUUUCACUCCCUUUGCAACCUACUUGCCCUUAUCAGCCUUCUUUCCUCUGGGGGCAGGCUUGUCAACAUCAUGAAUCGACUUGAGCAUCUCUGGAGUAAGGUCUCUCGGACCAGACUGUCGGAACUCCUUGUACGUUUUAAUGAUCCGGUUGUCGGCAGGAACAUCACCAUACAUUGUUUCAGGGAUAGAUUUCUUGAAUUUCGUGACCGUUGUGAGCACCUCAGUGUACCCCAUGUUGUAGAACAUGUUAAAAAGAUGACCCAUUGGAAUGGUUUCAGGGUUAACCCUCGACGAAUCAGGUUCAAACCCUAACAGUGAGCAGAAUCUCUACUUGGAAAUCGACGCCUUAUGCUCGAAUACGUCGAAGAAAAUCCGGUUGACGACCUUGUCGUAGUGAGCAGUAGCAAAUAUCUGGGACAGGAACUCCAUGGGAACUGCUUCGGCUCUGGUGAGAGCAGGAGCAAUCGGCAAGUACUUCAAGAAUUCGAUAAUGGGGAACAUGAAAGCGUCGUAUGCUUGAGGAGUAAGAUCAAUGAUCAAACUUUGCUGGGGACGAAUCGGCAAGAUGUGUGAAGUAGCGUGAACUGAUGAAGAAUCCGCCAUUGUUGUGAAGAGAAUGGGAGAGAUGAUGAACAGUAGAGUGUUGGAGGGUUUUCUUGCUCUCUGGAAAUAUGGGUGCAGUAAAGAGGUAAACAAAGGGUUACGUUACCUUUUAUACUGUGGGUAAAGGAGAGAGAAGAAUCUUUCCCAAAUCUUCGAGUGAAAAACGAAGAGUUUUUCGGAGGCGAUUGACGCGUGACAGUUGUUAAUGCCGAUGAUUACGCAUGAGAGAGAGUGUCAGUCCCAAUUUACACGCCUUCCCAUCAAGUGCCAUUUUCAGAUGAAACGGUUCCAAUUCGAAUGCAUGGCCUUCUAGCACCGUUUGAAAUCAAAUCGAUUGGACUCCCGCCUGAGUUAGCUUUUUGUAAUCUUAUCCCUUUAGAGUUAACGACAUCUUUAAAGCGAAAUAUUACCCACGUGGAUUAAUGUUGACCACAACCCGUUAAUAACUGCCAACCCCAUUAAAAUGCCUUGUAACUAAUGAAACCUGAAUUUUGUAAAAUCAAAAAGAUUUUCGUGCUAAGUGUGUAAAAGAAAAAGAAAUAAAGCAACACAUUUGAGGGAUUAUGUGAUGUCAAUAAAGACACGAAACAAUGGAUCCCGGGCACGAAUCUCUUCCUUCAAAGUCAAGAGAGACCUUAAAGUGUUAGUGUGGUUUCCCGUUGAAUAACGAUCAGACACUUAUUAAGAAGUGUUGAAAGGCUUCUUUUAAUUAGGCUUAAUUGGGUGGCUUUUGCUUCAAUUCAGAAUUCCUGAUCUUGAUAUAAGAUAGAAAUCGAACGAAGUACUUGUGAGACCAAUGUAGUCUAUUGAACAAGUAGGUUGGAGAUAAUUUAAGUGGCAAGGUAAAAUAAUGUAUGUAAAAUCUCAAAAAAAAAUUAAAACUGGAUUCCGAGGGAAGAAAUGUUAUAGGUAUUAACAAUUUCAUAGAAAUCACUCAAAAGGAAAUUAGAGAUUUUACUUUGUAUCCCCAUGGAUAAAUCCAUCAAUUCAUUAGUGAAAGCUAGAACAAGUUUAUUGUUCACCGUUAAUGCAUAGUAGGUACUGAAUUUUCGAUUUCACUUAGCACGUAGUGACACGAGGCUAAGAUCAUUAACACAGAAAUUGUGUAACCAUAAACCUCAGUGGUAAUUUCGGAGAGUCUCAAGGGUUACGUUUGUGAAACGAAUAAGAUGGAGAAAAGUAGUGUAGACGGUGUAAAGAAACCAAAGUACCUCUGCUGUUAAAAUAGGGACCAAGCAGAAAACUCUUAUCUCAUGUGAGAAGAGAGUUAGGUAGCUCAUGAUUAGAAUAAAUAUGAUAGCCUAAUUGGGAAGACAAGGUUUGUGUAUACCAAGUCAUUAAGGCUAUUAUUUAGAAUCAGGCGAGGCUUUGGACACAUACAACAGCAUGCUUCUAGGGACACUUAGCUAAUUCAACAAUUUCCCCAUAAACAAACACACAAAUAAAAUUGAAGCCAAAAAGAAAAUAAAGAACAAAAUAUUUUUGGAGUUUUUGAAUUUAUGCAAAAAAUACUUUUGGAAUUUUGAUAAUAAAAAAAAUAAUAAAAAAAAUAAAAUGAAAUAACAAAUAAGACAUAAAAAAAAUUCAGAGGAAAGAAGAAAAAAAAUUGGAACCGAACCCAAGCGUUCGGUCUAUUUCGGUUGAGAAAAAUUUUGGAACCGAACCCGAGCGUUCGGUCUAUUUCGGUUGCCAAAGAAAAUAAGUUUGAAACUUAGCAUGGUUCGGGUUGCCUCACACAAAGAUCAGUUUCGUCUUUCGACAAUUCCGUUUUGUUGAGGGGUGUAGGGUGCUGAGAAGUUGUGACUGGUUCCUUUUUCUGCGAAAAAGUCUUCGAAUUCUUUAUUCUUGAACUCCAGUCCAUUGUCGCUCCUGAUGUUGCGAACAACUUUCCUCAGUUGCACUUCAACCUGCUUAAUAAACAUCUUUAGCUUAGGAGUAGCCUCAGAUUUGUGCUUCAGAAAGAACACCCAUGUAAAACGUGAGAAAUCAUCAACAAUAACAAGAAUAUACUUGCUACCGCCAAUGCUUUCGAUUGAUGAUGGACCACACAAGUCAAUGUGAAGCAACUCAAGUGGUUCAACAACUUUUGUGUUUAUAAUGGAUGGGUGACUUUGACGACUUUGCUUCCCCAUUUCACACGCAGCACACAAAUGUUCUCGAUCAAACUUGAGCAAUGGGAGACCCCUAACAUGACCUCCUGUGACAAGCUUGUUGAUGUCUUUGAAGUUGAGAUGUGAGAGCCUUCGGUGCCACAACCAGCUUUCGUCAGAAUGAGCUUUGGAUAAUAGGCAUAUAGCUGGAUUUCCUUUGAUUGGUUUGAGAUUGAGAGGAAACAUUUCGCCUUUGCGUUCUGAUUUGAGAAUUACCCUUUUUGAUUUCUUCUCUAUGAUUUCUGAACCUUCAUCAUCAAAUGAAACUUUGAGACCGGUGCCUCCUACCAGUUGAGACACACUGAUGAGAUUAUGCUGUAGACCUUCAACAUACGCCACCUUUCUUAUUGUGAAGUCUCCAUUGGUUAUCAUCCUAUAGCCCUUUAUCGUUCCAUAAGAAUUGUUGCCGAACUUGACAUUCCCACCAUUCUGAAGAGAUCGAAACUCCCUUAGCUCCUGCUUCCUCCCUGUCAUGUGACGUGAGCAACCACUGUCAAUAUAGCAUUCUUCGUCGAACUGCUCCUCACUAAUAACCUGCAAAAUUUAAGCAGAUUUAGGAACCCAAAGUUUCUUGGGUCCACGUGAGUCUUUCACAGGAACAGGAAUAGUAAGAGAAAUGUCAACAAGAUAUGUUCUUUUUAUUAAAGUUGUUUCAUCUUUCUUCUUAAUAGUGAAUACUUUAAUUUUGUUAGGAUUUGUUACAUUCGGUUUAGAUUUAGGUUUUGGCGUUUGGGCCUUGGACUGCUGCUGAUCAUUCUUGACUGAGGAAACUUUCGAGUUUCCUUUCAAACCUGUUGAAAAUUUUGGAUUUUGAGUUUGAACAGAAUUGGGUUUAGAAUGAGGUUGAAAGGAAUUAGAACGAGAGAAUUUGGACUGAGAAGUUUUCUUGACUUGAGGUUCUAAGUGACCCUUUUGUUUUUGGUCACUAGUGGGACCAAACCUUGAACUAUGGUAGCUUUUGCUUUCGGAACCAAACCUAUGCUUUCGGUUGCUGGUGUUCUCUGAACUGAACCUGUCCCUUCGGCUGAUAUUCCUUUCCAAACCGAAUCUGUCCUUUCGGUUGUUGUUACUCUCUUGUGGCCUGACAGCACUUUUCUCUGACUUUGAAUUUUUGGCAUGAUAAGAGAAAUGUGCAUUUUGAGAUCGCCAAAAUUGUCUUCGUUCUGAGAGAUUCUUUUUGUAUCUCAGAUUCCUUUGCUGCUUUUGACCCUUCACUUGCUUCGGCUGGUUNCCUUUUGCUUCUGCUUCUUGUCAGCCGGUUCACUUUUCACUGAUGAUGUUUCGCUUGUGGAAGUGACUUCUUCUACAUGAACUUCUUUUGUACCACUAGUGCUUGGCACAUCGAAGUUGUCAGGCUUGUUCAGUGGCUCUGGAACAUAUUUGUCUUUGGUUUUCCAGGACGUACGCUCUGACAGACCAACAGUUUCGUCAGCGUUAUCUAUAGGAGCAGACCAGAAAAACUCAUCACAGCCAUCUGCAUUAUCUUCAUUCACUAUGGCAGUGAGUUCGGCUGUUUGAUGUUCAGUUACUCCUGUGACCUUAUAUACUUGAUUUGGUGUUGUUCUCACCUUUUGAUACACUACAACCUUUUCUUCAAGAAUUGGGGACCUAUUUUGGGACAAACGAGCAAACUCCACUGAAUUUUCAGAAAUAAGAUUUUUGUGGUUUUCGGGUUCGCUCUUAACAAACUCAGAACAGUCGACUUCAUCCUCUAAAGAAAUUACGCUCAUAUCAUCAUCCUCAUUAAGUUCAGAUGCGUUUUCAACAUCAAUUUUGUUUUAUGAACUUAAAUUGGCAUUCAACGAGUCAAAUUUUUGUAUGGUUUCGGUCCUUAGUUUCAGCUUAUCGUUUUCAUCUAAAAGGUUUUUCAGCAUGUCCUUAUGGUCCUUGGACUUUAUGAAAGAUUCAAUUUUGUCCAGUCCAUACAUAUAAGUCGGAUUCACAUCAUCAGACGAAACUACACUUUCACAAUUAUAUGCUUCAGCAUCGAUUUCAUCCUCCUUAAACUCAAGGAAGGGCAAAAUCAUGCGAUGAAUUUUCUGCCCUAUUUGGCAGUUCAGAUGAAGUUGAGUGAUGUUAGCAUAAAGACGUUUAGCAAUUAAAUAAAAAACAUUUCUCUGUUUCAAAAGUUUUAAAUUGUCUCUUUGUAAAUAAAUGUUUUCGUCGUUAGAUUUAAUCAGCUCCGACUCCUUCAGCUCAAUCCACAUCCUCUGUUCCUCACUCUUGGAUGACACCCUGCUUAUUUGGUCAGUUAGGUUAGAAUUGGUGACCCGUGUUUGAGUUAAACAGCUAUCUAGAUUUAAGAUUCUUGAAUUUCAGCUAUUUAAUUCUUUUUCAUAUGAAUUUUGUGGGACUUUGAAUGAAAUAAAAAGGGAUUGUACCUUCUUGAUCAAUUCAUCAAGCUCAUUGAUCUGCACACUGAGAGGUUUUGCUGUGAAGCAUAAGUCCUCUCGCUCCUUGGUGUCCUCUUUUCCGCCAUCAGUAUUGUAUCCCCUCAUGUGAGAUACAUCAGUCACCAUCAAACAUUUCCCACUGCUCUCGUCACCUCUUGCCACAUACGCCUUUCCAUGCGAAGGCCUUCUCACUUCAUCAUCCUCAGAGUCGGUAGACCAUACUUGCACGCCACCGAACUCGUCAUCCGCUGCCGAACCCUGUACAAUAAGAGCAUUCAUAGAAGGGUUAGUAGCAGUUUUCUUCCUCUUGAUCUCAUCCAGCUUUUUCAUCAACACAGCUUCUUCAUCUUUCUCCUCAUCCUUCUCUGCCAUUUUCUUCAGAACACAGUCUUUGGCAUAAUGGUUCUUUCCUCCACAGUAGUAGCAGUUCACACCAGAAUCUCCCUCAACCUUCGCCUCCUUCUUUGAUUCUUCAGUCUUCGGUUCCUCUCUGACCUUUUCAGAACUAUAGCUUCCCUGCCAAUUUCGGUUCUUAUUGGUAGGGAACCUUUUCUUGAUAAACCUCUUUGGAUUAGACACCAUAUUGCAUAAUCUUCAGAAGUAAUAUCAUAAUAUUUUAGAUUCAGAUCUUCAUCAUCAACCGUAUUUUUGCCUUUAGACAGGAGGGCCAAGGACCCCAAACUUGAAACCACAUUCUUCUCUUGCAUGACAAUCUUUUCUUGGGAUUUCAAAAUUCCCACCAGCUUUGCCAGCGAAUAAGACUUGAACUGCUCAUGAGCUUUGACUGUAGACACAACCGCUCUCCACUCGGGUCUUAGGCCAUUCAAAAAGGUGACCUUCUAUUCAAUCAGCUUCCUUUCUAUAUCAUGUUUGAUCAUCUUGCUAAGAAGAUGAUUGAAGCGAUCGAAUGUCUGAGUAACAGUUUCAUCAGAAUUCUGCUUAAAUUCACCAAACUCAGACAACAGCAACGUCUGAAUGGAAUGCUCCAAAUCUUCAUCUGUGGAAUAAAGCUCUCGCAACCUAUCCCAGAUUUCUUUAGCUGUACUGCAGGAACUUACUAACCUGAAUGUAUCAGAUUGAAGAGCGAAUCGGAUCAGUCUCAAUGCUUUGAUAUUGCACUGAAACUUUUCCUUUUCGUCUUGAGCGACGUCUUUUACGUCUUUUAAAAGAUCAAUAUAUUCUUUCUGAGUUUUGAUGAUCUUUGAUGUCCCUGAGUUAGCGAAUGGUGCAGACACGAUAGCUUCCCAAAUAAGAUAUCCAUUAUCUUCAGAUCCGAUGACAUAAUCUUCAAAAUGAUGCGCCUAGACUUCAUAAUCCUGGGUGUAGAGAAUAGGAAUCUUUGUCGUUGAUCCAAUGCUAUUUGAGAUGUUGAUAGGAUUAGAUUGUGACUCGUCCAUGCUUGAUCGUUUAACCUGUUUGAAAGAUCAGACUUGUAAUACGUAAUAUUAGGGCAAAACAAAUAAAUGCUGAGUUAUGUCAAUUAUGGAAUGACGGCUCAAUAAAUAUCAGUUCAUGCGGAAUAACCCUAAUCGUAAACUCUUUCACAGAAAAGAUGUGUAUCGAUUACACAGCCUCCUGCUCUGAUACCAAUUGAUGAGUUAUAAAAACUGUUAGAUCGAUUAGAUCUUCGUAACAGGUAAGUAAAGAACGUAAAAAGCAAGGAAGUAAAACACAAGUAUGGAACACAAUGAGUCGAAUGAUUAGAUUACUCAAUCCUCAGCAGAGCUCGACUAAGAACUUCCGCUGUAGAGGACUUCUAGGGUUACAAAAUAAGAAUGAUGAAUAUGCUGAACAAUACUUCUCUAAUCGUUUCUCAUCUGUGUUUUUUUUGUUUUUUUAGGAUGCAUGCAAACAUCUAUUUAUAAUAAACCCUACAAAACUCACGGAUGGACAGGCCCAUAUCGGAGAUAAACAUGGACUAGCUAACGAGCCCAAUAGACGCAACACAAUACUAGACCUAACAGAGAGUUGUGAUUGCUAAUCGGUUUUACUUACAGUUAUAGUUAUUAGACUUAUCCAAGUGGGAGACUAUUGGAUUAGGUGUCUAAGCUCAUAACUAUAAUAGAUAUGUACUUAACAUGAUAGUACCAUGGUCCUUUUAGGUUGCCUUCACCAGAACAAUCUGAUAGGAUGGAUAUUUGAGAAAGAUGUUAUUUGUGAUUUAUUAAUAUAUUAUAAGUAUAAUAUAUUAAUGGACAAAUCACAUUAUUUAAAUAGUAUUGAUUAAGAAUUAAUUUGAAAUUAAUUUACUGAUCAAAAGAGACUAAUUAAAUUAACGGGGACUAAUUAUGUAAAUUAGUGAUACAUAUGGUUUGAGCUAUUGAUCCAUGAUAGACUAAGUUUAUGUGAGAGUCCAUGAAGAGUUAGUCCAUAUGGGUUAUUGGAUCAUAAGCUUAAGUGUAAGAAUUAGGGUCACAUAUGACUCUCAGAAAUCUAAACUAUAUAUAUGUAACCCCUUGGCCAAAAUUGGACACAUAAAUAUCCUAGCAAGAGUAUAGCCGAUUUUAGGUGCCUAGAAGCUCUCUCUCAAGUCCUCCAAUUGUUGGUGGUGUUUGUGACUUAUUAGAGGCAUCACACUUGUGGUGCUAAGCUCUUGAAAGGCUGAAUUCAACAAGUACAACAAGAGGUAAUCUUUUAACUAGUUUUUAUGAUUCAAAUAUCAAGUUGUAUGCUAGAUAGGCUUCAUGCUUUGGAAACAUUGAAAAUCUCAUGUAUAACUAGAGAAAACUUAGAUCCAAAGAAUUAGGGUUGUAUGUGCACCAUAGGGAUGUUAUAGUGCUCAAAACCCAUCAAAAACAAGCGGAAAGAAUACUCAACAUAUAAAUGCGCUAGCAAGACCUGAACAUAAAUUAGUCUGUCGCAUACCAGAUUAACCCAAGCACUCAUUCGGCUUAACAAACCUGUCAUCCGCUGACUACACUCGAGCCUACCCUCGAUUCGACUAACUAAUAACUUAUGACAACCCAAAAUUUAUUCCUUCAAUGUAACCCACUUCCAUUAAUAAAAUUUAUUUUUACUAAAAAUUUUUGUUAACUUUUGAGAUAAGUAAAUCCCUUUGGGUUAUUGUUGUAUUUUUCAUAUGCCUUUGAAAGCAAUAGAAUCACGUGAAAAACCUUCGAAAUCUUUCGGAAAAAUUUCUACUUCAAGACUAAGUCGGGUUACGGCCAUUUAAUCGGGUACAAUCUUAAACUCCGUUUAAUGUCGGGAUUGGGUGGACCCCCACCUGGCCGUUAACUCAACCCUAUAUAAGGGUUGAGUGGUCUCCAUUUGAACCUUUUUCACCCACCUUAUAGCUUUCUCUCUCUACUCUCUCUCUACAACUCGGGAUUGAUCUAGAAACGCCCCUUCAAGCUUCACAACUAUAAGUUAACCUUCCUAGCUUUUUGUUUAGCCUAACACACUUGCAAAUCCGUCGUUUAAUCAUGCAAAAACACCAAGAACAUGUGUUUACGGUCUGGGAACAUCCCAAAACCGUAAACACCCUAAAAGGGGGUUUUUAUGCCCCAAAACCCUUCCAAAACCCUUCCAAUGCUUAGCUAAUGGCCUAGGGACUUGCAUGAAUGAUUUAAGAACCCCAAAACAUGAAUUGAAGGUACAAAGAUGAGUUUACGGUUUGGGAAGGUCUCCCAAAACCGUAAACACCUUCUAAAGGUGUUUAAGUGCACUUAACACCUUCUAAUGCUUGUAUAAGUGACUAGAACCUUACAUGUAUAGCCUAGAACCACCAAAAGACAUGAAAAAUGGACAAACAUGAGUUUACGGCCGCAAACUCAUGUGUUUACGACCGUAAAAUCCCCAAGGAGUGGUUUAGAGACCGUAAACUCCAUAAAGGGUCCAUUUCAAGCCUCAAACACUUCCAUGACCUUUGAUUCAACCCUACUACCUUUGUUUGUGAAGCAUAAGACCUUUGAGCACCCAAUAACACCACUCCCAUGAGUUUAUGGCCGUAAACUCAUGGGGAUAUGGUCUGGAAACCAUAAACACCCCUAAGGGCUUACACUUGAAGAGUAAACUCCUUAUCACGGCCAUAUACUCCUUAGAUGCAACCCGUACCAUUCCUAACACUUGAAAUAAAGUGUUUCCUCGCAUUAGAGUGUAUUUACUUGCUUAAUUAGUGGUUUAAUGACUAAUUAGAUACAAUUCUAUAUCACUUCAUGUUACAUAGGACCCUCGUGUGUGUUCAAGUCCUAAAUUGACACCUAGCGUCCUAACCCGGCACACCCACGUUAGGUGAGUUCAUAACCCUACCUUUUCCGAGUUUUUCAUGUUUUCAGGGGGGAAUACAAGCAAAAGUACAAUGGAACCUGUACUCAAAACUUAUUAUUUCUUAUGAAAUGUUUACAUGUUCAGCAUGCUCUUAACAUAGAAAACCGUUUAACCAAUCGAAUAAGAAAUUAACUUAUAGAGUUAGUUUUCAAAUCUAAAACAAGGAAACUUGAAAAGCUUAUCAUAAAAUGUUAUAUUUUAUAUUUUACAAAGGAUUCAUGCCAAUCAUAAAACAGGAUUUUCCAUAUUAUUACUUGUAAAUUCGUUAUUUUUAAGAUUGGAGACUGUCCUUGGUAACACUUCCCCGGAUUCGAGAGUGUAGGACUAACCCUGUAACCAUAAUCUCCUAGAGGGAGAACGUGACUUUUGUGUAUAGAUCUAUACCGGACUGACUACCCAGCACCUUGCUGCUAGCUAAAGUGGGACCGACAGGUCAACGGGUGACAAAUUCAUAAAAUGAUAUUGGCCCUCGUUACGAGCAAUAUCUAGUUUAUAGUAUGGUUAUAGAACUCGCAACUUAGAUAAUGGAGAUUUACUUUUAGUAAUAAUGAACCUAGUGAACUAACCUCAAAGUAAUAACUGUUUUGAUUACUAGAGGGCAUCAACAAUAUCCUUAGGAAUUAGUUCACUACCUACUUAUUAGUUUUAUAUAUGUGUUAAAACUAAUAUAGUUUAUCAAGAUUAACCUAGCUUCCAAGAAACUUCGCCUAACGAUACAAGUAUGGUAGAUACUUGUACUUUUCAUUUCCGGAUCGAUAACCAACCAUCGACUUUUAAGGAAUAUAUGGGUUUUUCCUGGGAUAACAUAACUUUUCAUAAACCGGCUGUUAAACAAAAGGAUAACCAACUUCUUUUAUGUGACAUCCCCAAAAUCUUGGCCAGAAAAGACCGAUUUUCAUUUAUGCUUUUAAAAUAAUUUCAGAGUAAAUCCUUUUGAUUUGAAAGAGUUGCGGAAUUUGUUCCCAAAAACAAAACGUGAUAAAACAAUGUUUACCAAAGCAUUUCAUAAAAGAAAUGUAUUUUUCAUUAUAUAAUCAAAACUCGGGGUGUCAUGUUCCGAUACAGACUAAUAAGCAUAAACGAUAACAUUACAAGUCAUUCAACAAAUAUAUACAUAUACAGACUUGUAAACAAAACAACUUGAUGGUUCAUCCAUCUUAUGCCCUCGCGCCACUUCCUGUAAUACAAAUUAAAACUGAGUGGGUCAGGCUUGGGAGCCUGGUGAGCAUAUAGGGUUUUCAACCCACAAUAAAUAAUCAUAUUUAAUUUCCACCAACCAACAAUAACCCAAUUACCCAUUCCCGUUAUUCUCACUUUAUGUCCCUAAAACAACUAACAUAAGGGACCUAGUCUAAGAAUAUUUCAUCGGGGCGACAACACAUGCUUCGGGGGUUCCUCAGCAAUAUAAGUCAAAUAAGGCAACCAUGAGGGGGAUGGAGUACAGCGAAUGAACACCCAAGUUCAUUAACACCUACAGGUGGCGAACCUGCUAAUGUUUCCACAAGACUGUCUAGAAAAGUCAGUGGUCGUCAUCUAAACUCCGCUAGAUGACUCAAUCAAACAACAACGAGGCCUCUCAUCUGUUUAUUACACACCAACUAUCUACCCAUGUUCUACCCAACAUAUUAGUAGAUAAAAAUAUACAUUUGUAUACAUAGUUUAAAGACCUGUAUAGCAUGCUUUAAUCAAUACAUAUUCCACAUAACAGAUGAGGCACACACACACAUAACACGUAUUUCAUAGAGAAUAAAUCAUAUCUAUGAGAUAGAAGAAAGUGAAUACACAUUCACACAUAUAAACAACAAUAUACUUAAUACACUCAAACCAUACUUGUAUUAUUAUCGUGUUUAUGAAAGGUAGUAUACACUCACUUGAUCAGAAGAUGAUCGGACAGCACUACGACUUGCAGAAGUAGUAAUCCUCAGCAGAUCUGGAAGAUCUCCACAAAAAUCGAACUUCUCGCGGGCAGAGCUUCGGCUCGGGAACCGCACUUCUCGGGAUCUUCGGGAUCUCGGGACUUGCCUCGGGGCUCGAGAAUAAUACCGGGGCUUCGGGGUAUUUCUGGCACGCAAAACGAUGCAAAACGGGAGAGAGAAGAGAGAAAAUAGCAAAAGAACUCGGCUGCCCUCGCAUCCUAUUUAUAGGAGGCUGGAGCCUCGGAGUACGCGGGGCGUACUCCUCCGAAAUCAUCACUGCUUACGUAUCCGAAGUGCUCGAGUGAGAGUGUCGACAUCCCUCGGUGUACGCGGGGCGUACUUCGGAUGAGUCUGAUGACUCCUCUUCGGAUAAUGCCGGAUUUUCCAUAUAAAAUUAAACACAAAAUAUUUAAUAAACUUCAGAAAUUCAUAUCUUCUUCAUACGUACUCCGUUUUCGACGUUCUUUAUAUCCACGCGAAGGUGAGACUACGCUCUACAACUUUCGUUUAGACUCCGUCGGCUAAUUUUGACUUUAUUUUUAUUAUUUAUUUUUAGUAGGCCGGGACAGAAAAACUUCGUUAUAAAUUCAUAACUUCUUCGUUUGACGUCCGUUCUCGCCUAACUUUUCAUCGCUUCGAUACCAACAACGAGAUCUUCGAUUCUCGUUUAGAUUGUUUCGGCUAAAAACCGCUCGAUCUCAAAUCGAGUAUUUCAGGCUGCAUACCGCUAAGUCGAAACUUCAAUAAAUCAUAACUUCCUCAUACGAAGUCAGAUUUGGGCGUUCUAUAUAUAUUCGGAAACCUCGUUUCAACUACUACAACAUUAACCAAAGAUAUCAAGUUUAUUUUACACUUAAAUUUUGACGCUUAUUUUUAUUCUUAAUUAAUCAAACCACAUAAUUAAGCAAUUAAGCACAAAACACAUAAUACUCAAAUAAUACAAUCUUAUUAUUUCAAAACGGGUUACAAAGGUUAACCUAGACUAUUACAUUGCUAAAAAUGGCAAGCCCGGAAACACAGGCGUUACAAUUCUCUCCACCUUAGAAUGAUUCCAUCCCCGGAAUCACACAUCAACAAACAAAUGCGGAUAGCGACCCAUCAUGUCACUCUCCGUCUCCCAGGUGAGAUUCGGCCCAUUCGUGUGUUUCCAUCGGACAAGCACUAACCCAACCAUUUUGCGUCGCAACUUCUUAGUCUUUCGGUCAACAAUUGCCUCUGGUUCUUCAAUCAACCUUUUGUUCUCAUCAAUUCUCAAUUCAGAAAUUGGAAUUAUAUCGGGAACUUCUCCCGUGAACUUCCUCAAAUAACACACAUGAAAAGUGUUGUGAAUUCCAUUCAGUUCUUCGGGUAAUUCGAGCUUGUAAGCUUGGUUCCCAAUCCUCUGAAGAACUUUAAACGGUCCAAUAAACCUUGGACUCAACUUUCCCCUUUUACCAAAUCUUAUAAGUCCCUUCCACGGCGAGACUUUAAGCAAAACCGAAUCUCCAACCUCAAAAGUCAUCGGUCUUCGCUUCUUGUCAGCAUAGCUCUUUUGACGAUCUUGAGCUGCUAACAUUCUUUCCCUAAUUAUUUUCAACUUUUCAGCAGUUUGAUGAACCAUCUCCGGUCCCAUAAACUGCUUUUCCCCAGCCUCAAGCCAACAAGACGGCGUACGACACUUCUGUCCAUACAAAGCUUGAUAAGGUGCCAUCUUAAUGCUCGAGUGAAAACUAUUAUUAUAGGAAAAUUCUACCAACGGUAAAUGUUCAUCCCAAUUACCUAGGAAUUCCAAGGUACAUGCUCUCAGCAUAUCUUCAAGUGUUUGUAUUGUUCUUUCACUCUGACCAUCAGUCUGCGGAUGGUAAGCUGUGCUUAAACAUAACUUGGUACCCAUUUCCUCUUGUAGACUUUUCCAAAACCUUGAGGUGAAACGGCUAUCACGAUCCGAUACAAUCGUUAACGGAACACCGUGAAGCCUCACAAUUUCCUUCACGUAAGAAUUCGCAAGCUUUUCCAUAGACCAUUUCUCCCUGGCCGCUAUGAAAUGCGCACUCUUAGUGAAUCGAUCAACGACCACCCAAAUCAUGUCGUGACCAUUCUUUGUUCUGGGCAGUUUAGUGACAAAAUCCAUAGCAAUGUCUUCCCACUUACCCAUAGGCACAGGCAAAGGUUCUAAACUCCCGUACGGUUUCUGAUGUUGUGUCUUGACUCUCGCACAAGUCACACACUCGGCCACAUACUUUGCAACAUCAAGCUUCAUCGUCGGCCACCAGUAGUAGGGUUUCAGGUCCCUAUACAUUUUAGUGCUACCGGGAUGAAUCGAGUACAUGGUCUUGUGAGAUUCUUCCUUCAGAAGAUCUCUGACUCCUCCUAUCUUAGGUAUCCAAAUCCGAUCAUGGAACACCUUCAGUCCCUGACCGUUUACACCGAACAGCAACGUUUUGCCCAAACGUUCCUCCUUUUGGUCAUUCUUUUCAGACGCUUCGCUUUGAGCUUUCUUUAUACUUUCCAAAAUAGUCGAGACAACUUCAAUUCUCAACGCUCUUGGCCUUUUCCUUUCAAGAUUGACUUUCCGACUGAGAGCAUCAGCAACAACAUUAGCUUUACCGGGGUGGUAAAGUAUCUCGCAGUCGUAGUCUUUAAGUAAUUCUAGCCAGCGUCGUUGCCUCAUAUUCAAUUCUUUCUGAUUAAAGAGGUAUUGGAGACUCUUAUGAUCAGUGAAAAGUUUGCACUUCGUGCCAUAGAGGUAAUGCCUCCAUAUUUUCAGAGCGAAAACUACCGCUGCCAACUCCAAAUCAUGAGUCGGGUAAUUCUUUUCAUGCUCUUUCAGCUGUCGAGACGCAUAUGCUAUCACCUUUUCUCUUUGGGUCAAAACACAACCCAAUCCAACACCAGACGCAUCGCUAUAAACAGCGAAGUCUUCAACUCCAUCGGGUAGAGAAAGUAUCGGUGCCUCGCAUAGCUUCUUCUUUAACUUCUCGAAUGCUUCUUUAUGCUUCUCACUCCAAGCAUAAGUAGCUCCUUUGUGGGUCAAAGCUGUUAAUGGAGUAGCAAUCGAAGAAAAGCCUUGGAUAAACCUUCGGUAAUAUCCGGCUAAUCCUAAAAAGCUUCGAAUCUCCGUGGGACUUUUCGGUUGUUCCCACUUCGUCACAGCUUCGAUCUUCGCUGGAUCAACCAUUAUCCCUUCUUGGUUGACCACGUGACCCAAGAAUUGGACCUCACGAAUCCAAAAAUCACAUUUGGAGAACUUCGCAUAAAGCUUCUCCUUCUUCAAAACUUCUAACACUUCUCGCAAGUGUCUGCCAUGCUCCUCCUGGCUUUUCGAGUAGAUCAGAAUGUCGUCUAUGAACACUAUCACGGAUUUAUCAAGGAAAGGAUUACAAACCCUAUUCAUCAAAUCCAUGAACGCUGCUGGAGCAUUGGUUAGUCCAAACGACAUAACCAAGAACUCGUAGUGUCCAUAUCUAGUUCUGAAUGCAGUCUUCUCGAUAUCUUGCUCUCUUACUUUCAGCUGAUGAUAUCCUGACCUAAGAUCGAUCUUCGAGAAAUAGCUCGAACCUUGCAAUUGAUCAAACAGGUCAUCAAUCCUCGGCAACGGAUAUCUAUUCUUUAUUGUUGCCUUGUUCAGCUCUCUGUAAUCGAUGCACAUUCUCAUACUUCCAUCUUUCUUCUUUACAAAUAACACCGGAGCUCCCCAGGGCGAUGAACUAGGUCUAAUGAAACCUUUGUCCAAUAACUCCUGAAGUUGCAUCAUCAGCUCCUUCAUCUCCGUCGGUGCUAAUCGAUAAGGUGCUUUUGCUAUUGGCGUGGUUCCUGGUAACAAGUCUAUUCUGAACUCCACUUGUCUAUCAGGUGGUAAUCCAGGAAGAUCCUCGGGAAAUACUUCCGGAUAAUCACACACCACUGGAAUGCUCUGCAUCACCUUCUUUUCUUUCUUAGCAUCAAUCACGAAUGCUAAAUAUGAUGUACAUCCCUUGGUCAAACACUUUCUGGCUUUCAUUAGAGAAAUGAUUCCAGAAUUCACUCUGCGUUUGUCCCCAUACACCAUAAACGAAUCUUUCCCAGGCGGGUUUACUUUAACUAUCUUCUUCUUGCACAAAAUUUCGGCAUCAUUGGCGCUAAGCCAAUCCAUUCCCAAGACGAUGUCGAAACCAUUUAGUUCGAUAGGCAAUAAUUCCUCGAGAAACUUAUUCCCAUUAAGGUCGAUCAAGACGUUUUUCAUACGAUGGCUAACAGGUACAAACUUGCCACUAGCUACUUCGACUAAUAAAGCAUUAUCUAGUCUAUCAACAGGCAAAGCUAGCUUUCUACCAAACUCAUGCGAAAUAAAGGAGUAGUUGGCUCCAGAAUCAAACAAUAUAUGAGCAGGUAAUUCGUUUACGAGAAAGGUACCUGAAGCGACAUCAGCUUCAUCUUUCGCAGCCUCAAGUGUCAUCUGGAAGGCUCUCGCCUUCGGCUUUGGUGGAAUGUUGGGCCUAGCUGCCUCCUUCUUCUUCGGACAGUCUUUCAAAAUAUGCCCCUCUUCAUUACACCCAAAACACAUCCUUUUGUUGUUCGGACAUUCAUUGGCAAAAUGUCCAACCUUUCCACACUUGUAGCAGGUCACAUCCUCGCUACAUUUCCCAAAGUGCUUUUUCUUACACUUAUCACACCACUUUGCUUCGCCUCCUUUUCCUCCAAACUUUUUCGAAUCAGAUUUCGAAAAUUUGCUCUUCUUACUGGAACCAGAUGUUCCUUCAAACUUCCUUUUCUCACCAACCUCAACCUUGACGGUGGUUCUCCCCUUGAUCAUGUUCUCCACAGACUUGGCAGCCCAGAUAGCUGCCUCUAGAGUAAGUGCCUGACGUACCGGCACCUCGUACUCCCAUGGAAGUCCCUUCGCAUACCGAUCCACCUUUGUCAGCUCGUCUGGAACGAUACGCAAGGCAAACUCCAUCUUAUCGGUGAAGUUAUUGGUGUACUCAUCCACUGACAUGCUACCCUUCGUCAAUGUCAAAAACUUGUUCUCCAACUCCAACAGAUUUUGAGCCGAGCAGAACUUGCGCUUGAACUGCACCAAGAACUCUGCCCAUGACAAUUGCAGUGGCUCAUUAGGGCUUAAGGUCUUCCCUAGAGUGUUCCACCAACGAACGGCUCCACCUCGGAAUUGUCGCACGGCAUAGAUAGUCUGCAACUUGCCUCUACAGCCACAUGUCAUAAAGGCUAACUCCAUUUCGGAGAUCCAAUCCAUAACCCCAAUCGGAUCCUCCUUUCCAUUGAAGGUCGAUGGUUUACAAGUCAAAAAGUCCUUGUACUUGCAUCCCAUUCCAUCAUUCCUUCCAUCAUGGUUAUCUUGCCUAACUAUCGGUGGGUUGGCUGGACCAACAGACCCACUGAAGUUUCCACCUUCCGAGUGCCCUUCAUUCAGUUCAGGCUCUUCCACACGAAUCGACAGUUCUUCACGAUUUUGUUGAAGCAACCGUCUAGUUUCAUCCAUCUGACGAUCCAACAUCGUCUGAAUCAUCAAUUGCACACCAGCCAUGGUUAUUGGCUCAGGUGCUGCUGCUACGACAGGUAUUGGCUCAAUCACUGGUGGUUGAUUCCUGUUUUCGUCAGCAUUUCCAACUCCACUUCUUGUUCUCACCAUUUUGAUCUACACCGAAUAAGGUGAAAUUAGAUCCUCAAUCAUGAUAGAUAUUCAAAUCAUCCUUAUCACUCCGAAACGUUUACAUGCUAGUUCUAAUAUCGUAGACGUACGCUUAGAAUCCUACACACAUAAGGUUUCUAGAUCCGGUCGGCAACAGACCAUAGAUCCGAACAAAUAAUAUCAUAUAUGGCAACAUAUAACAUUUAGCACAUAAAGCAUUUUAGGCAACUUUCCUAAAAUAAACUAGUGCUCGUGUCUAAAUCACAACAGACACACAUCUCAAAACUUCACUUAGCAUUCUAAGUUUAAGUCUAGAAAUCCUACAAAUUCCUAGUUCGCUUAAACUAAUGCUCUGAUACCAACUGUGACAUCCCCAAAAUCUCGGCCAGAAAAGACCGAUUUUCAUUUAUGCUUUUAAAUAUUUUCAGAGUAAAUCCUUUUGAUUUGAAAGAGUUGCGGAAUUUGUUCCCAAAAACAAAACAUGAUAAAACAUUGUUUACCGAAGCAUUUCAUAAAAGAAAUGUAUUUUCAUUAUAAUCAAAACUCGGGGUGUCAUGUUCCGAUACAGACCAAUAAGCAUAAACGAAUACAUUACAAGUCAUAUAACAAAUAUAAACAUAUGCAGACUUGUAAACAAAACAACUUGAUGGUUCAUCCAUCUCAUGCCCUUCCGCCACUACCUGUAAUACAAUUUAAAACUGAGUGGGUCAGGCUUGGGAGCCUGGUGAGCAUAUAGGGUUUUCAACCCACAAUAAAUAUCAUAUUUAAUUUUCACCAACCAACAAUAACCCAAUUACCCAUUCCCGUUAUUCUCACUUUAAUGUCCCUAAAACAACUAACAUAAGGGACCUAGUCUAAGAAUAUUUCAUCGGGGCGACAACACAUGCUUCGGGGGUACCUCAGCAAUAUAAGUCAAAUAAGGCAACCAUGAGGGGGAUGGAGUACAGCGAAUGAACACCCAAGUUCAUUAACACCUACAGGUGGCGAACCUGCUAAUGUUUCCACAAGACUGUCUAGAAUAGCCAGUGGUCGUCAUCUAAACUCCGCUAGAUGACUCAAUCAAACAACAACGAGGCCUCUCAUCUGUUUAUUACACACCAACUGUCUACCCAUGUUCUACCCAACAUAUUAGUAGAUAAAAAUAUACAUUUGUAUACAUAGUUUAAAGAAAACCUGUAUAGCAUGCUUUAAUCAACACAUAUAUCACAUAACAGAUGAGGCACACACACACAUAACACAUAUCUCAUAAAGAAAUAAGCAGAUCUAUAAGAUAGAAGAGAGUGAAUACUCAUUCACACAUAACACAACCAAAUAUAUACACAUAGCACGUAUUUUUAUAUAAAAUACUUCGUAUUAUUGUAUUAGAAGAAAUAACUACACACUCACUUGAUCAGAAGAUGAUCGGACAGCACUACGGCUUAUAGAAGUAGUAAUCCACAGCAGAUCUGGAAGAUCUUCUCGAAAAUCGAACUUCUCGCGGGCAGAGCUUCGACUCGGGAACCGCACUUUUCGGGAUCUUCAGGAUCUCGGGACUUGCCUCGGGGCUAGAGUAUGAUACCGGGACUUCGGGGUAGCUUCGGGGGUUUUUGCACAGAGCUUCGACACGAAAACGAGAGGGAAUUGGCAAAAAUACCCGGAACCCUCGCAUCCUAUUUAUAGGAGGCUGGAGCCUCGGAGUACGCGGGGCGUACUGCGUUACGCGGGGCGUACUGCCCAAAACGUCAUUGCUUACGUAUCCGAAGUGCUCGAGUGCGAGUGUCGACAUCCCUCGGAGUACGCGGGGCGUACUCGAGUACGCGGGGCGUACCUCGGAUCAGAUCGGUGACUCCUUCGGAUAAUGCUUCCGAAUUUUGAAUUAAAAAUAAAUACAAAAUGAUUAAUAAACUUCGGAAAUUCAUAACUUCUUCAUACGAACUCCGUUUUCGACGUUCUUUAUAUCCACGCGAAGGUGAGACCACGCUCUACGACUUUCGUUUAGACUCCGUCGGCUAAUUUUGACUUUAUUUUUAUUAAUUAUUUUUAAUAGGCCGGGACAGAAACUUUCGUUAUAAAUUCAUAACUUCUUCGUUUGACGUCCGUUCUCGCCUAACUUUUUAUCGUUUCAAUACCAACAAUGAGAUCUUCGAUUCUCAUUUAGAUUGCUUCGGCUAACAACCGCUCGAUCUCAAAUCGAGUAAAACAGGCUGUAUAUCGCUAAGCCGGAACUUCGAUAAAUCAUAACUUCCUCAUACGAAGUCAGAUUUGGGCGUUCUAUAUAUAUUCGGAAACCUCGUUUCAACUACUACAACAUUAACCAAAGAUAUUAAGUUUAUUUUACACUUAAAUUUUGACGCUUAUUUUUAUUCUUAAUUAAUCAAACCACAUAAUUAAGCAAUUAAGCACAAAACACAUAAUACUCAAAUAAUACAAUCUUAUUAUUUCAAAACGGGUUACAAAGGUUAACCUAGACUAUUACAUUGCUAAAAAUGGCAAGCCCGGAAACACAGGCGUUACAAUUCUCUCCACCUUAGAAUGAUUCCGUCCCCGGAAUCACACAUCAACAAACAAAUGCGGAUAGCGACUCAACAUGUCACUCUCCGUCUCCCAGGUGAGAUUCGGCCCAUUCGUGUGUUUCCAUCGGACAAGCACUAACCCAACCAUUUUGCGUCGCAACUUCUUAGUCUUUCGGUCAACAAUUGCCUCUGGUUCUUCAAUCAACCUUUUGUUCUCAUCAAUUCUCAAUUCAGAAAUUGGAAUUAUAUCGGGAACUUCUCCCGUGAACUUCCUCAAAUAACACACAUGAAAGGUGUUGUGAAUUCCAUUCAGUUCUUCGGGUAAUUCGAGCUUGUAAGCUUGAUUCCCAAUCCUCUGAAGGACUUUAAACGGUCCAAUAAACCUUGGACUCAACUUUCCCCUUUUACCAAAUCUUAUAAGUCCCUUCCACGGCGAGACUUUAAGCAAAACCGAAUCUCCAACCUCAAAAGUCAUCGGUCUUCGCUUCUUGUCAGCAUAGCUCUUUUGACGAUCUUGAGCUGCUAACAUUCUUUCCCUAAUUAUUUUCAACUUUUCAGCAGUUUGAUGAACCAUCUCCGGUCCCAUAAACUGCUUUUCCCCAGCCUCAAGCCAACAAGACGGCGUACGACACUUCUGUCCAUACAAAGCUUGAUAAGGUGCCAUCUUAAUGCUCGAGUGAAAACUAUUAUUAUAGGAAAAUUCUACCAACGGUAAAUGUUCAUCCCAAUUACCUAGGAAUUCCAAGGUACAUGCUCUCAGCAUAUCUUCAAGUGUUUGUAUUGUUCUUUCACUCUGACCAUCAGUCUGCGGAUGGUAAGCUGUGCUUAAACAUAACUUGGUACCCAUUUCCUCUUGUAGACUUUUCCAAAACCUUGAGGUGAAACGGCUAUCACGAUCCGAUACAAUCGUUAACGGAACACCGUGAAGCCUCACAAUUUCCUUCACGUAAGAAUUCGCAAGCUUUUCCAUAGACCAUUUCUCCCUGGCCGCUAUGAAAUGCGCACUCUUAGUGAAUCGAUCAACGACCACCCAAAUCAUGUCGUGACCAUUCUUUGUUCUGGGCAGUUUAGUGACAAAAUCCAUAGCAAUGUCUUCCCACUUACCCAUAGGCACAGGCAAUGGUUCUAAACUCCCGUAAGGUUUCUGAUGUUGUGUCUUGACUCUCGCACAAGUCACACACUCGGCCACAUACUUUGCAACAUCAAGCUUCAUCGUCGGCCACCAGUAGUAGGGUUUCAGGUCCCUAUACAUUUUAGUGCUACCCGGAUGAAUUGAGUACAUGGUUUUGUGAGCUUCUUCCAUCAGAAGAUCCCUAAUUCCUCCUGACUUAGGUACCCAAAUACGAUCUUGGAAUACCUUCAGUCCAUGACCGUUAGUACCAAACACCAACGUUUUACCCAAACGUUCCUCCUUUCGGUCAUUUUUCUCAGAAGCUUCCUCUUGAGCUUUCUUUAUACUUUCCACAAUAGUCGAGACAACUUCAAUUCUCAACGCUCUUGGCCUCUUCCUUUCAAGAUUGACUUUCCGACUGAGAGCAUCAGCAACAACAUUAGCUUUACCGGGGUGGUAAAGUAUCUCGCAGUCGUAGUCUUUAAGUAAUUCUAGCCAGCGUCGUUGCCUCAUAUUCAAUUCUUUCUGAUUAAAGAGGUAUUGGAGACUCUUAUGAUCAGUGAAAAGUUUGCACUUCGUGCCAUAGAGGUAAUGCCUCCAUAUUUUCAGAGCGAAAACUACCGCUGCCAACUCCAAAUCAUGAGUCGGGUAAUUCUUUUCAUGCUCUUUCAGCUGUCGAGACGCAUAUGCUAUCACCUUUUCUCUUUGGGUCAAAACACAACCCAAUCCAACACCAGACGCAUCGCUAUAAACAGCGAAGUCUUCAACUCCAUCGGGUAGAGAAAGUAUCGGUGCCUCGCAUAGCUUCUUCUUUAACUUCUCGAAUGCUUCUUUAUGCUUCUCACUCCAAGCAUAAGUAGCUCCUUUGUGGGUCAAAGCUGUUAAUGGAGUAGCAAUCGAAGAAAAGCCUUGGAUAAACCUUCGGUAAUAUCCGGCUAAUCCUAAAAAGCUUCGAAUCUCCGUGGGACUUUUCGGUUGUUCCCACUUCGUCACAGCUUCGAUCUUCGCUGGAUCAACCAUUAUCCCUUCUUGGUUGACCACGUGACCCAAGAAUUGGACCUCACGAAUCCAAAAAUCACAUUUGGAGAACUUCGCAUAAAGCUUCUCCUUCUUCAAAACUUCUAACACUUCUCGCAAGUGUCUGCCAUGCUCCUCCUGGCUUUUCGAGUAGAUCAGAAUGUCGUCUAUGAACACUAUCACGGAUUUAUCAAGGAAAGGAUUACAAACCCUAUUCAUCAAAUCCAUGAACGCUGCUGGAGCAUUGGUUAGUCCAAACGACAUAACCAAGAACUCGUAGUGUCCAUAUCUAGUUCUGAAUGCAGUCUUCUCGAUAUCUUGCUCUCUUACUUUU